rnacentral:lncRNA from 1 species
ACCAAUCUUGCCGCACGGACUCAUUCUUGCAUGAUGGACACUUUGUGUGCGCUAACCAUUGUAUUUCCGAGUGUUGCUUGUGUUUGCUCUUUUUGCAUGUCUAUCACUCCGGCGACACCUUGGACUACUUGGAUUGCGCCAUGUCUUCAACUUCUUCCAACUACAAGUCCAUCUACGCCAACCGUUUCCAUGGUGAUGAGGAUCACGAUCCGAGGUCGGAUCUUUCCCAAGGGAGGGGAGAUGAUGCGGAGCAUCCCACGUUCAUCCCCAUGUACACUCCGACCACUCUCCAAACCCCAAGAGGACAUAUGACGAGACCUCGAACAUACACCAUUGGACACAAGGUGAACUCGCUCCUCUUCGAACCAUCACUUUACAUAUGUGAGACAUGGCUACUACCUCAAAUAUAUGUCUAUGCAUGACUAGGAACAAAGAGGAAGAACAUGGACAAGAUGGCGAGGACACCAAGUACAAGAACUACCGAAGAAGCUCCAGCGAGCGGACGUCCGGCCUACAGCGAAAAAGACCGGCCCCUGAAGACCCGAGCCGAAUCUGCGGAAGACCGGAGCCAACGGACGACCGGCGACCGGACGACCGGAAAUCAUCGGACGUCCGGUGCCCCUGGACCCGAGCCAAAUCAACGGAAGUUCGAAGAACCCCGAACGUCCGGACGCCCAUGAGCCACCGGACGACCGCCCCCCAGCGGACGUCCGGUACCUGUCUGUGCACAGUGUUCGGGCCUGAGGCCCAUGUACCCCUUCACUUCGCCCCCAUUUGCACUAAGACUAUAAAUAGACCUCUCCCUCCUAGUUAGGGUUAGCAAAGGAUUAGCUCAAGUUUGUGUGAGAGCUUUGCUCAUCCACUUGGUUACCUUCUCCUCGGAGCUCAGGACCUCUUCGGAGAAGAUCCCCCAAGCGGAUUCAAGACCCCUUCAAGGGAAGACCAUCAAGACCUCCUCACGGAGAAGAACCCGGUUACCUCUUGUAUCGUCCUUUGUUGAUCGUGGAUCGUGUAUCUCUCUUUGUGUUCAUCGAUCUAGCGCAUGUGUAAUCGAAUCUUGUUGGUUUGAGUGAUUCUCUUGUGUUUUCCCCGUUAUUUUCCUCGUGUUCUUCCGCUCGUUCUUCGUGUUCCUCGUAGGGAUUCUCUCCAAACGUGAAAGAUCGUCCACAUAGGGUUCCGCCCUACAUCACAUGUCUACCCAUCGCCGAGUACACCUACAAUCGUGUAAGACAUUCGACUAUCGGCAAGUUCCCCUUAGAAGUCGUCUACGGCUUCAACCCGUUGUCACCAUUGGACAUUCUACCUCUUUCUCUACAAGAGCGCACCAACAUGGAUGCGAGUGCACGGCAAGCUACAUCAAGAAUAUGCAUGAGGAUACAAGACAAACCAUCGAGUGACAAGUACAACGUGUAGCGACCAAGCUCAACGUCAACAAGCAACCCAUGGUCUUCAACAUUGGUGAUCUAGUGUGGCUACACCUUCGCAAGGAUCGCUUCCCCAACGAACGCAAGUCCAAGCUUCUCCCUCGAGCCGUUGGACCUUUUCAUGAGGACAUCAGUACCAUUGUUACACCCACAGCCCCUACUACAACAUAUACUAGACCAAUUACUAGAGCUCGCGCACGCCAAUUAAAUUAUCAGGUACUUUCAUUUCUUGGUAAUGAUUCUAAUGUUCAUGAGAAUAUGAUGCUGCCGAAAUUGGAUACAUUUGUUUUGAUUACAAAUGAAGGGCCUGGCAUGGAUAAGAGGGAUGAACAUUGGAGCAAGAACAAGCAUGGAGUUGAUGGCAUGCACAAGGGGAACAAGAACGGAGUUACAAGUGAUGAUUUCAGGACUUUGAAGCCACCAUAAUGAGUACAUGAAGCCUUGGACGAAAUAUACAAGAUGGCACUUCAUAAACUUCGUCCAGAGGCUAUUCUAGGUGCCGCGUCACCUUAUUAUUGGGCCAGGCCCAUGUAAUUUCGAAAUACAUAAGUAUAGGCUAUUUUUAGAGUCCGUAUGUGUGGGGAAACAAGAGAUAGGGUUAGUUACGGACCCCUCCACCAAGGGCCACGAAAUUCACCCCCUCUUCCUCCAUAUAUACAACCCUUAGGGCACCGUUUAGACUUUGGGUUUUGCUUAGAUUAAAAGUUCGCCAUAGCUGCAACUUCGCGCACUUCGUUUGUGUUCAACGACCAGACCAAGGCGUCACAGAACCCCACCUUGAUCAAUAAAGCUUUCCUCUUAUAUUCGCAAUAUCCAGAUUGCAAUCUUAGUUUCUUGCUUGUUCUUUGUUUGCCUGCAGGAAACAGACCUUCGUGGUCAGGUUGAUCGUGCUCCGACAUGGUCAAUAACCUCUCGGAGUUGGUUUAGCAAUUGCUAAGGCGCGACGUCCUCGCACGUUCAUAGUCGGAAUGUCAAAGUCGACUUCAUCCUAAACGAUAGCCACCAUCUCAUCGAAAGACGGGACACCUUUGCCUCUAUCAAGUGGUAUCAGAGCUCCUGCCACCUCCAGCCGUGAUACAAGAAAGCAGGCACAACCACCACUAUCUGCCAAGAGCGCACCUGCCGGGCCUACACAGAGCUCUUCUUCUUCCAUGGCAUCCACUGGGCACACAAGUGAUAUUAUUUGUCGUCGUUGUAAGGGAAGAGGUUAUUAUGCGAGAGAAUGCAAAUCUCUGCGUGUGAUGAUUGCUACUGAGGAUGGUGGGUAUGAGUCCGCUAGUGACUAUGAUGAGGAGACGUUGGCUCUUGUUACACGUGAAGAACACGGUGGAGAUGAUUCUGAUCAUGAGACGCAAUACAUGGCUCCUGAAGACGCUGACAGGUAUGAAUGUUUAGUUGCUCAACGUGUUUUGAGUGUGCAGGUCACACAAGCUGAGCAAAAUCAGAGGCAUAAUUUGUUCCAUACAAAGGGAGUUGUGAAGGAACAUUCCGUGCGCGUCAUCAUAGACGGAGGGAGCUGCAACAACUUGGCUAGCAUGGAGAUGGUGGAGAAGCUCUCUCUCACCACAAGACCACAUCCACAUCCUUACUACAUCCAAUGGUUCAACAACAGCGGCAAGGUUAAGGUAACACUUUACUGUUCGUGUGCAUUUUAGUAUCUCUACAUAUGCUUAUUAUGUUGAUUGUGAUGUGGUACCUAUGCAAGCAUGUUCCUUAUUACUUGGUCGACCAUGGCAAUUGAUAAAAAUUCUGUACACCAUGGUAGAAACAAUCAGUAUACUCUUGUUCAUAAGGAUAAAAAUAUUACUUUGCUUCCUAUGACUCCUGAUUCCAUUUUGAAAGAUGAUAUUAAUAGAGCUAAUAAAGCAAAACAGGAGAAAGAUAAGAGUGAAAAUCAGAUUGUGGCAAAAGAAUUUCAGCAACAAAUGAAGCCUAAUAGUAAACCAUCUAGUGUUGCUUCUGAAAUUAAAUUGAAAAGUGCAUGUUUACUUGCCACCAAAUCUGAUAUUGUUGAGCUAGAUUUUAGCAAAUCUGUUUGCUAUGCUUUUGUGUGCAAAGAGGCAUUAUUUUCAUUCGAGGACGUGCCUUCCUCUUUGCCCCCUGCUGUCACUAACAUUUUGCAGGAGUUCGCUGACGUCUUUCCACAAGACGUGCCACCGGGAUUACCACAUAUCCGAGCGAUUGAGCAUCAAAUUGACUUAAUUCCCGGUGCAUCGCUACCCAACCGUGCACCAUACCGUACCAAUCCAGAGGAGACGAAGGAGAUUAUGCGUCAAGUACAGGAGCUGCUCAACAAAGGUUAUAUACGUGAAUCUCUUAGUCCUUGUGUUGUUCCUAUUAUACUAGUGCCUCAAAAGGAUGGUACGUCGCGUAUGUGUGUUGAUUGUAGAGGCAUUAAUAAUAUUACUAUUCGUUAUCGUCAUCCUAUUACUAGGCUAGAUGAUAUGCUUGAUGAAUUGAGUGGCUCUACAAUAUUCUCCAAAGUUGAUUUGCGUAGUGGAUACCAUCAAAUUCGUAUGAAAUUGGGAGAUGAAUGGAAAACAGCAUUUAAAACUAAGUUUGGUUUAUAUGAGUGGUUAGUCAUGCCUUUUGGGUUAACUAAUGCACCUAGUACUUUCAUGAGACUAAUGAACGAAGUUUUACAUGCUUUCAUUGGACGAUUUGUGGUAGCUAUUUUGAUGAUGUACUGAUUUAUAGCAAAUCUUUGGAAGAACAUUUGGAACAUUUACGUGCUGUUUUUAUUGCUCUACAUGAUGUACGUUUGUUUGGUAACCUUGGGAAGUGCACCUUUUGCACCGACCGAGUACCUUUUCUUGGCUAUGUUGUUACUCCACAGGGAAUUGAAGUUGACAAAGCCAAGAUUGAAGCUAUUGAGAGUUGGCCGCAGCCCAAAACGGUCACGCAAGUGAGGAGUUUUCUUGGCCUCGCUGGAUUCUAUAGCCGUUUUGUGAGAGAUUUCAGCACCAUUGCUGCACCUCUCAACGAGCUUACAAAGAAGGAUGUGCCUUUUGUUUGGGGUACCACACAGGAAGAAGCCUUCAUGGUAUUGAAAGAUAAGUUGACACAUGCUCCUUUACUCCAACUUCCUGAUUUUAAUAAGACUUUUGAGCUUGAAUGUGAUGCUAGUGGAAUUGGAUUAGGAGGUGUGUUAUUACAAGAUGGCAAAUCUGUUGCAUACUUUUAUGAAAAAUUGAAUGGGCCUAGUCUGAAUUAUUCUACUUAUGAUAAAGAAUUAUAUGCUCUUGUUCGGACUUUAGAAACAUGGCAACAUUAUUUAUGGCCCAAAGAAUUUGUUAUACAUUCUGAUCAUGAAUCUUUGAAACAUAUUAAAAGUCAAGCUAAACUGAAUCGUAGACAUGCUAAAUGGGUUGAAUUCAUUGAGACUUUCCCUUAUGUCAUUAAACACAAGAAGGGUAAAGAAAAUGUUAUUGUUGAUGCAUUGUCUCGUCGCUAUACUAUGCUUUCACAACUUGACUUCAAAAUAUUUGGUUUGGAGACCAUCAAAGAUCAAUAUGUGCAUGAUGCUGAUUUUAAAGAUGUAUUGCAGAAUUGUAAAGAAGGGAGAACAUGGGACAAGUUCGUUAUUAAUGAUGGCUUUGUGUUCCGUGCUAACAAGCUAUGCAUUCUUGCUAGCUCUGUUCGUCUUUUGUUGUUGCAGGAGGAGCAUGGAGGAUUAAUGGGACACUUUAUUGUGAAGAAGACGGAGGACGUACUUGCUACACAUUUCUUUUGGCCAAAAAUGAGACGGGAUGUUGAGCGUUUUGUUGCUCGCUGCACUACAUGUCAAAAAGGUAAGUCACGACUCAAUCCUCAUGGUUUAUAUAUGCCUUUGCCUGUACCUACUGUUCCUUGGGAGGAUAUAUCUAUGGACUUUGUUUUAGGUUUACCUCGAACAAAGAAGGGGAGGGAUAGCAUAUUUGUUGUCGUGGAUAGAUUUUCAAAAAUGGCACACUUUAUACCAUGUCAUAAAAGCGAUGAUGCCGUGAAUGUUGCUGAUUUGUUCUUUCGGGAAAUUAUUCGCUUGCAUGGUGUGCCAAAUACUAUUGUUUCAGAUCGUGAUACCAAAUUCCUUAGCCACUUUUGGAGAUGUUUAUGGGCUAAGUUGGGGACUAAACUGCUUUUUAGUACUACUUGUCACCCCCAAACUGAUGGACAAAGUGAAGUAGUCAAUAGAACAUUGUCUACUAUGCUUAGGGAUGUUUUGAAGAAUAAUAAGAAAAUGUGGGAAGAAUGCUUGCCUCAUAUUGAAUUUGCUUAUAAGCGUUCAUUGCAUUCUACUACUAAGAUGUGCCCUUUUGAAAUUGUGUAUGGUUUCCUACCUCGUGCACCUAUUGAUUUGUUGCCUCUUCCAUCUUCGGAGAAGGUUAAUUUUGAUGCUAAACAACGUGCUGAAUUGAUCUUAAAAAUGCAUGAGUUAACUAAGGACAACAUUGAGCGUAUGAAUGCUAAAUAUAAACUUGCUGGAGAUAAGGGUAGAAAACAUGUUGUCUUUGCACCUGGAGAUCUUGUUUGGUUACAUUUGCAUAAGGAUAGGUUUCCUAAUUUGCGCAAAUCAGAGCUAGUGCCAUGUGCUGAUGGUCCUUUUAAGGUGUUAGAGAAAAUAAAUGAUAAUGCAUAUAAACUUCAGCUGCCUGCAGAUUUUGGGGUUAGUCCCACUUUCAACAUUGCAGAUUUGUAGCCUUAUUUGGCUGAGGAAGAUGAGCUUUCGUCGAGGACGACUUCAUUUCAAGAAGGAAGCUGAUGAGGACAUCAAUACCAUUGUUACACACACAGACCCUACUAUAACAUAUACUAGACCAAUUACUAGAGCUCGCGCACGCCAAUUAAAUUAUUAGGUACUUUCGUUUCUUGGUAAUGAUUCUAAUGUUCAUGAGAAUAUGAGGCCGCCUAAAUUGGAUACAUUUGUUUUGCUUACAAAUGAAGGGCCUGGCAUGGAUAAGAGGGAUGAACAUUGGAGCAAGAACAAGCAUGGAGUUGAUGGCAUGCGCAAGGGGAACAAGAACGGAGUUACAAGUGAUGAUUUCAGGACUUUGAAGCCACCAUAAUGAGUGCAUGAAGCCUUGGACGAAAUAUACAAGAUGCCACUUCAUAAACUUCGUCCAGAGGCUAUUCUAGGUGUUGCGUCACCUUAUUAUUGGGCCAGGCCCAUGUAAUUUCGAAAUACGUAAGUAUAGGCUAUUUUUAGAGUCCGUAUGUGUGGGGAAACAAGAGAUAGGGUUAGUUUCGGACCCCUCCACCAAGGGCCACAAAAUUCACCCCCUCUUCCUCCAUAUAUACAGCCCUUAGGGCACCGCUUAGACUUUGGGUUUUUCUUAGAUUAAAAGUUUGCCAUAGCUGCAACUUCGCGCACUUCGUUUAUGUUCAAUGACCAGAACAAGGCAUCACAGAACCCCACCUUGAUCAAUAAAGCUUUCCUCUUAUAUUCGCAAUAUCCAGAUUGCAAUCUUAGUUUCUUGCUUGUUCUUUGUUUGCCUGCAGGAAACAGACAUUCGUGGUCAGGUUGAUCGUGCUCCGGCGUGGUCAAUGACCUCUCGGAGUUGGUUUAGUGAUUGCUAAGGCGCGACGUCCUCGCACGUUCGUAGUCGGAUCGUCAAAGUUGACUUCAUCCUAAACGAUAGCCACCAUCUCAUCGAAAGACGGGACACCUUUGCCUCUAUCACCUUUCAAGGUGCUAGCACGCUACAACGACAACGCCAACAAGAUCGACCUACCACGAGACAAGUACAAUGUGAGCGACAUCUUCAAUGUUAAGGACUCACACCGUACCAUGGUGAUGAAGAUUUUGAUCCGAGGUCGGAUCUUUCACAAGGGGGGGAGAUGAUGCGGAGCAUCCUUCGGUCAUCCCCAUGGACCUUCCAUCUACUAUCCAAGCUCCAAGUGGACCCAUGACAAGAGCAAGAGCUCGUGCUAUUCAAUCCGAGGUGACAUCACUCCUAUUCGAUUUCCCCUUUCCUUCCAGUGAGACAUGGCUACUACCUAAGUCCGAGAAACUAUGCGUGAUCAGGUACAAUGUUCAAGCCAAGGAACGAGGAGCUGAAGAAGAAACCACAGGCGUCAACUCUCUAGACAGCCCGGAACUUCCAGCCUCAGCCCAGAACUUCCGGCCCCCGGAGCUUCCGGCCCGCCCGGAGCUUCCGGCCUCCGACGACAUCGACCAGCCCGGGCGUACCAAGAAUCUGCUUAGCCCAGAACCAGCCCGGAACCUGGCCUGGACCUUCCGGCCCCCGGAACUUCCGGCCCGCCCAGACCUUCCGGACCUCAGAAGCCAGCCCAGCUCCUCCCGCGCCAACACUCUGCUUAGGCCGGACCCUGCCCGGACCUUCCGUCGCCCGGAACUUCCGGCCCCGCCCGGAACUUCCGGCCCUGCCUGCGCGCAGCCACUUGGGCCGAGGCCCGUGUACCCUUUUGCCCCGAAACUAUAUAUACUCCCCCACCUCCUCCUAGUUACGGUUAGCACUGGUUUAGCACAUAUUUUGUGUGAGAGCCCUUGCUCAUCCACUUGGUUACCUUCUCCUCGGAGAUCAUGCCUCCUCGGAGAAGAUCCUUCCAAGGGAUUCAAGACCCCCUCUAGGGUGGACCCCAUCAAGACCUCCUCACGGAGAAGAACGGCUACUCGUGUAUCUUUCCUUUGUUCAUUUUGAAUCUUGUGCUACCUUUUGUGUUCUGUGAUCUAGCCCUUGUGUAAUCGAUACUUGUCGGUUUAGUGUUCCUCUUGUGUGUUUUCCCUUAUGUUCUUCCGCCCGUUCGUCGUGUUUUCCCUGUAGGAUCCCCUCCAAACGUGAAAGAUCCCCGAUUAGGGUUCCGCCCUACAUCAAUGCUUGUCAUGUAGCGGGUUGCGAGAUGCAUGACGGUCUUGAUGCGCGGCUCGUCGAAGAGUGUUCGAUGACUAUGUACUUGAGUCGUAGAAGGUGUCAUCAGAGUGUCGACUCGAGUGGCUCCGUCUUGAGGAUGAAGAAGUGGAAUGAUGUCGGUUCCUCAUCAAGGCGCGGAUCUCGUCCAUUCUUGCAUCAUUCUCUUGCCUGUGAGCGUCGAACUUGUUAUCGAAGUAGUCUCUUGUACGUUGCUCGAAGAGGUGCAAGUUGGUGGCGAGGUUGUCGAUGCGGUCGCUCAUUGCUUGUUGCUCUUGGUGCAACACUCGUUGUGCACCAAAGAGGUGGCUCUUGGUGACGUAUGAUGACAUGUCGUCGUCUUGCUCGAGGAAGAGUGGGUUGGUAGAAGUACUUGGCCUAUCCAUCAUUCCAAGCAAAAAUGUGAGUGGUAGAAGGAGAAAAACUUAUACCAAUGUAGCUUUGACCGAUGUUGAUGAUGAAUCAAGUUCACUCAAAUGCGGACAAUGAAAUAGCAUUAUUGGUACCAAUCCUUGUCAGUUCUCACACCUACACAAGUAAAAGCUUAUGGUGGAGCUUGGUUAGGAUAGUGGCACCAAAUUGAUUGCAAUCGUUAGGUUGACUCAAAGAUGUUGAAAAAGAUUCGCAAUUCGCAAAUGCAACAAGUAGACCAAGCAAGUAAGGGUACAUGGAAACACACAUGCAAAUAGAUUAGUGGGAUUGUGCAAACCAAAAGUGAGCCAAAAUGUGGAGUCCACGAAAAUGCUCUUGUUGCACAAUACUAGAGAGACGCUAGCACGAUUGCACAAUAGGCAGAUACGGAGCUUGUGCACAACCUACUAGGCAAAAAUGCAACGAUCUCUGUCCCAAGUAUGCUAUAUGUAUGGUAUUUCGGUGCUAUGAUCCAAGAUGAUCGGAUAUGACAAUCUUAAUAUAGUAUGAUGCUAUGGUUCUUGCUUAUAAGCUCUUUGCUUAUCUUUCUCUUUUGCUUAAAAGCUUGAUUGGCUCUUUGAUGCGGAGCAUCCCUCGGUCAUCCCCAUGGACCUUCCAUCGACUAUCCAAGCUCCAAGUGCACCCAUGACAAGAGCAAGAGCUCGUGCUAUUCAAUCCGAGGUGACAUCACUCCUAUUCGAGUUCCCUUUUUCUUCCAGUGAGACAUGGCUACUACCUAAGUCUGAGACGCUAUGCAUGAUCAGGUACAGCGUUCAAGCCAAGGAACCAGGAGCUGAAGAAGAAACGACAGGCGUCAACUCUCUGGACAGCCCGGAACUUCCGGUCCUCCCGGAGCUUCCGGCCUCCGACGACAUCGACCAGCCCGGGCGUGCCAACUAUCCGGUUAGCCCGGAACCUGCCCGGAACCCGGCCCGGACCUUCCGGCCCCUGGAACUUCCGGCCCACCCGGACCUUCCGGCCCCCGGAAGCCAGCCCAGUUCCACCCGUGUCAACUCUCUGCUCAAGCCAGACCCAGCCCGGACCUUCCGUCGCCCGGAACUUCCAGCCCCGCCCGAAACUUCCGGCCCUGCCUGCGCGCAACCACUUGGGCCGAGGCCCGUGUACCCUUUCGCCCCGUAAACUAUAUAUACUCCCCACCUCCUCCUAGCUAGGGUUAGCAUUGGUUUAGCUCAUAUUUUGUGUGAGAGCCCUUGCUCAUCCACUUGGUUACCUUCUCCUCGGAGAUCGCGCCUCCUCGGAGAAGAUCCUUCCAAGGGAUUCAAGACCCCCUCUAGGGUGGACCCCAUCAAGACCUCCUCACGGAGAAGAACGGCUACUCACGUAUCUUUCCUUUGUUGAUUUUGAAUCUUGUGCUACCUUAUGUGUUCGGUGAUCUAGCCCUUGUGUGAUCAAUACUUGUCGGUUUAGUGUUUCUCUUGUGUGUUUUCCUUGUGUUCUUCCGCUUGUUCGUUGUGUUCUCCUCGUAGGAUCCCCUCCAAACGUGAAAGAUCUCCGAUUAGGGUUCCGCCCUACAUCAUCUUGGUAUCAUGAGCCACGUUGAUCACGUUUUUUGAGCCCCUACCCCGUGUUUUCUAGCUUGAUUUUGUUGUUUUCGUCCUAAAUCCGAAAAUCCCCACCAAAAAUAGCCCCCAAUUUUUUUUUGUGAUUUGUUGGUGUGAUGAAGUUUUGUUGGAUUUGGUCCAUGGAUUUGCUUUGCUUCGAGUGGAUCUAGCUUCCCCUACCUUCUUCCCUUCUAAUUUCUUCUUUUUUCCCUCGGGAUUUGGGUUUUUCCCCAAUUUUUCCGCCCAAACGCUCGAUCCCGAAGUCCCUGUUCUUGGCAGAAUCGCGACCAUCGGAACUUCCGGCCCAGCCCGGAACGUCCGCCAGCCGGACCUUCCGGCCCAGCCCGGAACUUCCGGACACCAGACCUUCCGUCUUGCCCGGAACUUCCGGCCUAGACAGAAAGGUCGCGCAUCUUCGGCGACUCCCGCUUCUUCGGUAACUCCGACCACGAUGCAGCGGCAUCUUCGCCAAUGUACUGAAGACCGUGCAUCACAUCAUCGUCCACAUUCGCAUCCGUUUGGAACCUUUACCGUAAGCAAGGACGGUAAUCUCGAUGACAUCUUUGUCCAAACCUUGCCAUUGCAUUGAUAAGCAUCAUACCAUCUUUUGCGUUGCUUACCCAUCGAGACUAGCCUUUGAGUAUUGCAGGCAACGUGACUUGUGAACAUUAGUGAUCAUACUCCAUACCAUACGUACCAUACUACCGUGGUGCAUAUCUUGGGAUCCAUUUGUGUGUCACAACAUUGUCAUAGCAUACACAAUUGUUAUCUUGGUUCAUGAAUUUUGCAUGAGAAAAGAGCUCAAAAGUGAAAGAGCCACCCAAGCUUUUAAGCAAAGAGGAAAGAUAAGCAAAGAGCUUAUGAGCAAGAACCAUAGCAUCAUACUACAUUAAUAUUGUCAUAUUGGAUCACCUUGGAUCAUAGCACCGAAAUACCAUACAUAUAUCAUACUUGGGAUAGAGAUCGUUGCAUUUUUGCAUAGUAGGUUGUGCACAAGUUCCGUAUCCGCCUAUUGUGCAAUCGUGCUAGUGUCUCUCUAGUAUUGUGCAACAAGAGCAUUUUCAUGGAUUCCACAUUUUGGCUCACUUUUGGUUUGCACAAUCCCACUUAUCUAUUUGUGUGUGUGUUUCCGCGUACCCCUUCUUGCUUGGUCAACUUGUUGCAUUUGCAAACUUGUGAAUCUUUUCCAACAUUCUUGAAGCUCACUUACAAUUGCAUCAAAUUUUGUGCCACCAUCCUCACCAAGCUCCACCAUAAGCUUUUAUUUGUGUAGGUGUGAGAACCGACAAGGAUUGGUACCAAUAGUGCUAUUUCAUUGUCCGCAUUUGAGUGAACUUGAUUCAUCUUCAACUUCGGUCAAAUGUACAUUGGUAUAAGUUCUUCUCCUUCUACCACUCACAUUUUUGCUUGGAAUGAUGGAUAGGCCGAGUACUUCCAUUAACCCACUUUUCCUCGAUCAAGGCGACGACAUGUCAUCAUACGUAACCAAGAGCCACCUCUUUGGUGCACAACAAGCGUUGCACCAAGAGCAACAAACAAUGAGCGACCGCAUCGACAAUCUCGCCACCGACUUGCGACUCUCCGAGCAACGUACAAGAGACUACUUCGAUAACAAGUUCGACGCUCACAAGCAAGAGAAUGAUGCAAGAAUGGACGAGAUCCGCGCCUUGAUGAGGAACCGGCAUCAUUCCACUUCUUCAUCCUCAAGACGGAGCCGCUCGAGUCGACACUACGACGACACCUUCUACGACUCAAGUACACCGUCAUCGAACACUCUUCGACGAUCCGCGCGUCAAGACCAUCAUGCAUCUCGCAACCCACUACAUGACAAGCAUUCACAAGAGCAAGUCGAUGAGCAAGUCCCUCGUCCUCAAUCAAACCAAGCCGCUUUUGCCCAAGCUCAAGAAUGACAACGACUACGGCACCAAGAGGAAGAAUGAGCGCGUCUACACCAGGACGAACAAGACGCCGAGAAGCGCAAGCUCUUGAGGCGCAACGUGCCCUUCAAGAAUCAAGUCGAGCCAUCGCCAACCGCAAUCGCGAACGGCGCAAUCAAGAGGAAGCCCUUCGAGAAGAAAUCCAAGAGAGGAACUACCAACCAAGUGUGCAACGUCAAGUUCCUCAAGCUCCUCCACAAGCUCGUCAAGCUCCACAUCAACCUCAAGUUCAACAAGGGCAAGUUGAUCAUGGACUUCCUCCACACCAAGAGCAACAUGAAUAUGAUUGUCAUCCAUGUCAAGGGCGUCAUCAUCACCAUCGCCAACAACACAAUGAAGAGCAAUGAUAUGGAAAGCUCAAAUUCACCAUGCCCAAGUUAAAUGGAAGCAAUGACCCCGAAGAAUACCUCUCAUGGGCAUUGAAAGUCAACAAAAUCUUUCGGUUGCACAACUAUGAAGAAGAGAAGAAGAUCGCUAUGACAUCACUUGAGUUCCACGACUAUGUGCUCAUAUUGAUACGGAGCAUCCUACGGUCAUCACCAUGUCAAGAGUCCGUUUGGCAAGUGACACGUGCAACCUCUACUUCUCAUACCUAAAGGUGAAUCAUCUCCUUUACACGUGUUCACUUGCACCCUUCGAGGAUGGUAUACUACUUGACCCCUCUCUCGUGUGCAUACUUAGGUGUGAGCGGAGCUACACAUUCAUCAUGGAGGAGUCCAAGCGCAAGAGAACAACUACACCAUCCAAGACGGAAGCCUGGAAGCGAAGAAGGAAGUGCCAAGAAGAAGGAAGCAGCUCCCAGGCGACCCCGUGCGCACGGGCCCCUCCGACCCCUUGCCCACGGGCCUCCCAGGCUGGCGGUCCUGAAGACCCCGUGCGCACGGGCGUGUACCGUGCCCACGGGACCCCCGUGUCCACGGGCCUCACGGACCCCGUGCGCACGGGCCCUUGCGUCAGGUCUCUGGAUAACUCGUGCGCACGGGGCCCCCUGUGUGAUGCUGCGGGCUUUGCCCUUGUUUUACCAUUUCGCCCCCACUUAUCCCUCUCUUUGCCUAGGACUAUAUAUACUCCUUCAUCUCCUCCAUUUAGACUUAGCUAAGGAUAGAUCUAAACACUAGAGACUAGCUCAUGUAUCUCCCCUUGUGGGAUUUCUCUUGAGAGAGAGACACUCCAUUGGAGUUCAAGGCCUCCAUUGGAGAAGAUCCCUAGUGGAUAAAGACCCCCUUGAGGGAAGGGUCUAUCUAGAUCAUCAAGCCCUCAUCUCCUUCAUAGGAUUUGGGAUGAACUCUACCAUGUAUCUUAUUUCCCUUUGGUUGUUCAUGUACCUUGUGGAUCUUGUGUGUUUGAUUAUCUAGUGGAUGUGUGAUUGGACUUGUUCUUGAGUGUUCCUCUUGUUUUCCCUCUUGUGUUCAUCUUGUUCUUGGGGAUUCCCCCUCCAAUUCGUGAAAGAUCUCCCCAUAGGGUUCCACCCUACAUCAUCUUGGUAUCAUGAGCCAUGGUUGAUCACGAAAUUGGAGCCCCCUCUUUGUUUUCUAGCCUAGUUUUGUGUGAUUUCGUCCUAAUUUCGAAAAUUCCCCACCAAAAAUAGCCCCAAUUUUUUUUGUGAUUUGUUGGUUUUGGUGAUGUUUUGUUGGAUUUGAUCCAUGGAUUUGCUUGGUUUCAAGUGGAUCUAGAAUUCCCCCAUCUUUUCCCCACCAUCCAUCCCCAAAAUCUCCCCAAUUUGGCCCUAGAAAUCUUCAAUUUCCGCCCCAAAAUCGCGAAAUUUCCGUCCACCCCGUGCCCACGGACCCCAGACCCCGUGCGCACGGGCCCCCAAAAAGUCUCGGGACACCCCGUGCCCACGGACCUGUACCAUGCGCACGGGACCCCGUGCCCACGGGCUCCUACCCCCGUGCGCACGGCCCCCCCAGGUCAGCCGCGAGCACUUCACCAUUUCGGCCAUAACUUCCACAACCGGAGUCUGAUUUUCGCGUUCUUUAGCUCGUUGAGUAGCUAUUGACAUCCCCCAUCCACCUAAUAGGUACCAUCACCAUUUGACUCCAUCAAAAUUUUGACAUUUUGGCAUCUUUGCCUAGGCCUUCCACCAUAUCAUCCGCAAAACCACCAUAGUCUUCCGCAACCUAACCCGUUUCGCUCCAUAUAGCAUUUUUGGUUGUUUGAGUGGUGACUUGAGUCUCCUAAGGUGUUUAGGCUACUUAGGGACGGUUGCUUCUUCAUCAACCACCACCACCAGUUCCACCUAGGCUUACCCACCAUACACUUCCACCAUCCCAACUUAACCCAAUUUUGUUUGAGUUGUGAGUUGUGUCUCCUAAGGUGUUUCGGCUACUUAGGGACGGUGACCUCCAACUCCAACACCGUGUAUAGUCCACCACCAUAACCUCCACUUCCGCAUUGCCUAGUGCAUCACCACCACUUUCCGCUACCACCAUUUGACAUUUGUCAUUUGAGAUUUUGAGUUCGCGGUUUUUCCGUUUCCUAAGGUGUUUCGGCUACUUAGGGACGAGUCUCCAUCAUCUUGGUAUCUACAUCAAGAACACCGCCACUCAUCAUCACAAAGGACGGUAACCUCGACGACACCAUUGUAUAUUCCCCUUGCAAUUGCAUUGAUAACCCUUAGCCCAUUUUGCGUCACUUGCCUAUCGAGACUAGCCAUUUGAGUAUUGCCGGCAAUGUUACUUGUGCACAUUAGUGAUCCACCCUUCCAUUGCAUACAUACCAUAUCAUAUUGGUAUCAUCAUAUCAUCUCUUGUGUCACAAGAUUGUUCCCGCAUAUACACAAUGGCUAUCUUGGUUUGUGCAUUGUGCAAAUUGGCCAAAAAAAAGAAUAAACUUUUAAGCAAAAGAAAAGAGAGCAAAGAGCUUGUAAGCAAGUGCCAUAGCAUCAUACCACAUUGCAUAUAAGAUUGUCAUAUCCGAUCAUCUUGGAUCAAACACCGGGAACUAUACAUACAUAGCAUACUUGGGAUAGAAAGUUUAUCCAUAUUGCAUCUUAGAGGUUGUGCACAAGUGUCGUAUCCGCCUAUGGAGCAAUCGUGCUAGCGUCUCUCUUGAGUUGUGCAACACGAGCGUUUUGGUGGAUUCCACAUUUUGAGCUCACUCCUUGGUUGCACGACCCCAUUUAUCUAUCCGUGUGUGUGUUUCCAUGUGCCUCAUUUGCUAUUGGUCUACUUGUUUCACUUGCGAAUUUGUGAAUCUUUUCCAACAUUAUUGACUCUUGCUAACAUUUUGCAUCAAAUUUUCGUGCCACUAUCCUCACCAAGCUACUCCAUAAGCUUUACUUGAUAGGUGUGAGUGAACAAGUCCGGUACCAAUUCCACUAUUCUUUCAUCUCACAUUGAGUGAAACGAGAUACAUCCUCAACUUUGGGAAAAGGUAACUUGGUAUUGUUUAUCUCAUUUCCUACUCACCUCUACUUGAGUCUUGUGAUGGAUAGGCAAGGCAUUUCACCCUCGGUCUACAACAACAACGACGAGUACGAUGCCACAAACAAUUCCAACGACGCCAAGAUGGACAAGAAAUGGGAGGAGCUCAAGGCCCUCAUCAAGAAACGCAAGCGGUCUUCCUCAUCUUCGAGAAGACGCUCAAGUGCAAAGACUUCCAUGCUACCAUCUCCGGCAAGUACACACAAGCAUCGACAUCGACAAGACCAUGAAGAGCGACCUACUGGACGAGAGUUGGCUUCUCUGCCACCCCCGUGCACACGGGCCCUCAACCCCCGUGCACAUGGGACCCCGUGCACACGGCCUCCAGCACCCCCGUGCGCACGGACUACACAGAGCCACGACAUCAACCUCAAGACUACGGCUUCUUCAACACCGAUGGCAUCUUCAACAAGUGACUACAAGGCAUCUUCGCCUUCGGACGUACGACAUCUUCGCCUACUCCAUGAGCUCAAGUCCACUACUCCCUCGAGCUACUACGACCUCGACACUGACUACAAGAUUCCUUUCUAUGGGACUCAAGAACCCGAGGAGUACCUCGAGUGGGAGCGUUUGAUGGACGACUACCUCAAGCUACAUCAAGUCCCUUCCGAAGAUCAAGUGAAGUGCGCCACAAGAAACUUCCACGACUACGCCUCGGCAUGGUGGCUUCACACACCUUCAGAGAGCUAUGAGAUGAGUUGGCCCAAGACGAAGAGAGCUUUGCGGCGAGAGUUCGUGCCUCCAACUUACACGGAACAACUUCGACGCCAAUUGGAGAACACCAUCCAAGGAUCCAAGUCCAUCGAUGCGUACUUCAAGGAGAUGAAGAUUGCCUUGCGACGAGCCGCCGUGGACGACCCCAUUUCGAUGAAGUUCCACUUCAUGAUGGGAUUGAACAACGACAUCUCCAACACUAUCUUCCUCGAGAACUACAAGUCCAUCAACGACUACUACAUUGGUGCUCUCAAGGCGGAACAAGAACACAAGAAGGCCAAGACUUCUCCACCCCAAGCAAACUCCGUGGGGACCAAGCUCUACGACAAGCAUGAGGCUAGCACCACCAAGAUGUCCAAGCCCGACGAGCUCCAAGACGAUGCUUCCAAGUUCGACUUCACCUCCAUCCCUCUUUGUGGCAUUGAUGAUGCCGAGUCCUCCACGACUCUUUUUCAAGAUGGUGCGGCGACGAGUUCGACUACGGAGACCUUCAAGAACCAAGCUUUGGAGGCGAGCGACAAGGUGGCGAGCAAGGAUGAUGCUUCCAUCUUAGGAGGCGAGAGUGAUGUUGUGCCAUCUUCGGCAUUCAUCCACGACGAGAGUGAUGUUGAGCCAUCUUCGGCCUUCAUCCACGACGAGAGUGAUGUUGAGCCAUCUUCGGCCUUCAUCCACGACGAGAGUGGUGAUGUGCCAUCUUCGUCCUUCAUCCACGGCGACCACGACGAGAUGGUUGAGCAUGGGAUUUUCCCUUCGACCACGGUGACGUAUGAUGACUUGAGUGACUUGUGCCACCAUAUUGAGAGUGAGAAUGACUUCACCACUAGGCCCAUAUAUGAUGUGUUGCCACAAAUCCCAUGUGAGGAGAGCCACAACCCCCACCACUUGAGUGAGAUGAGUGACUCCACCAUAUGCGACAUUGAGUUCACCUACCUUGAGGGAGUGAGUGAGCCACCACCACACAGAGAGAGUGAGGUAGUUGAUGAGGCAUAUGAGGCCAUUUAGCUUUCUAACAACUUAACCUCUACCUCUAUUGUGUCUUCUCCUUUGGUGCUAGGUCCCAUAUAUGAUGACGCGCCGAUUCGCAACGACUACGUCCUCCCUUUGGACAAGACGAUGGCCAUGGUGGAAUAUGAUGCACCCCCCACAUGGUUCCAUCAAGAUGAAGAUGACCACCAUUUGGUCUUUCCCACCUCACCUACACCACUUGAGUGGAAUGAACAAGGUAACAAAGGUGAAGGUGAUGAUCUUGUCCCAACAGUGGACAUUCUUGAGAUUGAUUGCUUGCAUGAUGUUGAUCCACCUAGUACCAUGAUUCAUGCUAGUAUGAUUUCCCCAUGUGAUGAUUUGCCCAUUUAUGAUAAAUAUGAUGAUUCUCAUGUGGAGUCUAUUAGUUGUGAUGCCAUGUUACAUAGGAUUUCUUGUGACAAUUCUUUAGGUCACAUCAUGUUUGCUAAUCCGCUUGACUUGUCAUAUGAUAUGCAUGAGAUCAACCAUAUGUCUUAUUUGCAAUCUCUUCAUAGUGACUAUGCAUAUGCCAUUACAAUAAACCCAAUUUGCACAUAUGGCAUAGAUAACAAGCCCAUGGUUAUUGGCAUGUGUUUCUCUCGUGAUGAUAUUGAUAUGCUUCCUUUGCAUCAUUUAUCUCAUAUGCCAUGCCAUGACCACCUAGCUUCGGAUAUGCAUUGUUUUGGAUGUUGUCCAUUUUCUCCAUGUGAUGUUUCCGCUAUCGCUCAUGAGGAGGCCCCCAUAGUUUCCUCGUACAUUUUAGGAGAUUUUGAUCCAUCCCAUUCAUUGCAUGAUCCCCAUACUUGUGUGCACCAUAUGCUCCCCAUGAAUAAACAUGCUAUUGAUGUGCCAUAUACUUGCUUGCUCAACUUGUGUCCCCAUCGUGUCAUACAUAACAACUAUUCUUUCAUGAUGGAUGACAUAUUCAUAUACCAUGCCUCAAAUUUCUUUGAGCAUUGCUUAUCUCGUGCUAACUCACACAUGCACAUACACAUCAUGAUGGAUGAUGUGUACAUUUACCACGCGCACAAUUUCUUUGGAUUGUGUCUCUUUUGUGUAGGUACACAUGAAUACUUGUCAACCUCGCAAUCGCACGAGUUGACAAAACGAGCUCUAGAGAGCAAUGAUGACUUGGGAUCCCAUGGAUUGCCUUUCCCACCGCUCUCUUCACGUGAAGUCUUCGCGCAUUUCUUCUACAUGGCUCUCACAUGGUUAUGGGUUAUUGUCCACUACAUAUUAUAUUCCCAUCUUGCCAUGUUCACUUUGCAUGAUAUUAUCAUUCCCAUGCCUUUGCCAUGCCUUUGCAUGAUAUUGUUUCUACUACUUAUAUGUGUAUUUGCAAGCUUGGUGGAGACAUUGCUUGUUAUUGCCAUGUUCCAUUUAUGACCCAUUCCUAUGAUACUACUAUGAUCUUGCUUUGUGUUCGUGCUUGCGAUAUGUCAUGUGCAUUACCGAUGCCUAUUGUUUUCUCACAUGACAUGAUUGCCAUGAUUUACUCUAGUGUGUUGCAUCUUUGCUCCACUAGUUUGCACGGCAUGAUUGAUAUGCUUGCUUGUCUUGCAUCACCCAUGAUUCAUACUUGCUCAUUUCAUGCGGUUGAUGACAACCAUUUCCAUGCUUUGCACAUGAUUGUUAUUGCUUCUUGUCACAUAUCUCCAUAUGUUGCCUCUCUCAUGCUAGAUGAUUUGACAUGUAUUGAGUGCAACAAUGAUUCUAGUCUUGCUAAUGAGAUUGCCCCCAUAGCAUUCUCACAUAUAUUUGGAGAUUUUGACAUAUUCCUUGUGAAGCAUGAUUGCCUUACUUCUUUGCACCAUAUACCUAGUGCCAUGAAUAUUGCCAUUGUUGCAUCAUAUUAUUCAUGCACUUGUGCUUCUAAUGGUUUUGUGCAAAAGAUGAGAACCAUUAUGAUGGAUGAUGUGUUUGUCUACCAUGCGCAUACUUUCUUUGUUUUGUUUUGUGCAUGUGUAGGAUACUUGGACUUUGUGUCGACUUCCACUUCACGUGAGUUGACCAUUCGAGCUCUUGAGAGCGAGCCUCAUACAUUCUACCACGACUCACUUCUACACCAUAUUUGCUUCCACUUCGGCAUUGCGAAGAAUGCACAAGAACACGCCUUCAAGGUGACAUCCUUCUUGAGCUUGGAUAUUGUGGAUCAUACUUCAUGUGUUGCUUGCACCAUUUGCACACAUGUGCGAGAUAUUGCAUUCACCCAUGAUUGCCACAUUUCCAUGAUUCAUGACAUAUAUACCUUGUGUGUUGCAUCCAAUUCUUGGAUUACUUUCUCCUAUCACAUGUUUGGUUGCGACAAUGUCAUUCCUUCCCAUAUGCCAAGUCACAUUGAUUGCUACAUGCUUGACCUGAUUGCCUCACACGUGAUGAACAAUUGCUCUUUCUAUUGUGUUGAGUGCCACAAUAUGUUCACUACACCCUAUGCACAUUAUGCUUGGAUUGUCUUGCACUUGACCCAUGUGUUUAGACACUUCAUUUUAUUUGGUGUUGUGAAUACUUCCUAUGCCUACCAUCGACCAUUUGUCGAGCACUUUAUACAUGAUUGCUAUGAUCUUGAGGUAGAUGCUUAUUCUCUUGUCACACAUAUUUGCAUCACUACCUCACGUUUACAUGUUUGUUUCCAUGAUGACCUUGAUUUUGAUCAAUUCAUAUGCUUAAAUGCCAUGUCACAAUCCUUUGUCACACCCUAUGCUAUGCUUGAUGACGGCACUUGUUUGGUGAAUCACCUCUUGAAUGCUUGGUUUUGCACUAACGCUAACCACAUUUGUUUUUCCAAGUGUUUGUUCCAUUUGCUCCUUUUGAAGGAAUCACAAGACGGUGCGACAUUGGAGAGUGCCCAUUUCGAGCUUCAAGAUGACAAGUACUUGGUGAUCGUCCACUUCAACAUGGCGACGCUAUCUCUUUCCCAUGGUGAUUUGGUCUUUGAUCUGAGGUCGGAUCUUUCCCAAGGGGGAGGGGAUGAUGCGGAGCAUCCUACGGUCAUCACCAUGUCAAGAGUCCGUUUGGCAAGUGACACGUGCAACCUCUACUUCUCAUACAUAAAGGUGAAUCAUCUCCUUUACACGUGUUCACUUGCACCCUUCGAGGAUGGUAUACUACUUGACCCCUCUCUCGUGUGCAUACUUAGGUGUGAGCGGAGCUACACAUUCAUCAUGGAGGAGUCCAAGCGCAAGAGAACAACUACACCAUCCAAGACAGAAGCCUGGAAGCAGAGAAGGAAGCGCCAAGAAGAAGGCAGCAACUCCCAGGCGACCCCGUGCGCACGGGCCCCUCCGACCCCGUGCCCACGGGCCUCCCAGGCUGGCGGUCCUGAAGACCCCGUGCGCACGGGCGUGUACCGUGCCCACAGGACCCCCGUGUCCACGGGCCUCACAGACCCCGUGCGCACGGGCCCUUGUGUCAGGUCUCUGGAUACCCCGUGCGCACGGGCUCCACUUACCCCGUGCGCACGGGGCCCCCUGUGUGAUGCUGCGGACUUUGCCCUUGUUUUACCAUUUCGCCCCCACUUAUCCCUCUCUUUGCCUAGGACUAUAUAUAUCCCUUCAUCUCCUCCAUUUAGACUUAGCUAAGGAUAGAUCUAAACACUAGAGCCUAGCUCAUGUAUCUCCCUUUGUGGGAUUUCUCUUGAGAGAGAGACACUCCAUUGGAGUUCAAGGCCUCCAUUGGAGACGAUCCCUAGUGGAUAAAGACCCCCUUGAGGGAAGGAUCUAUCUAGAUCAUCAAGCCCUCAUCUCCUUCAUAGGAUUUGGGAUGAACUCUACCAUGUAUCUUAUUUCCCUUUGAUUGUUCAUGUACCUUGUGGAUCUUGUGUGUUUGAUUGUCUAGUGGAUGUGUGAUUGGACUUGUUCUUGAGUGUUCCUCUUGUUUUCCCUCUUGUGUUCAUCUUGUUCUUGGGGAUUCCCCCUCCAAUUCGUGAAUGAUCUCCCCAUAGGGUUCCACCCUACAUCACAUAUGGUGGGAACAAAUCCUUGAACGCCGACAAGCAAGAGGUGAACCUCCAAUCACCACUUGGGCUCAAAUGAAAGAUGUCAUGAGAGCAUGUUUUGUGCCAACCUACUACAACCGCGACCUCUUCAAGAAACUCCAACUCCUCAAGCAAGGAACAAAGAGUGUUAAAGAAUACUACAAGGAAAUGGAGAUAGCCAUGAUUCAAGCCAAUGUGAAGGAAGAUGAUGAACAAACUAUGGCACGUUUCUUGAAUGGACUCAAUCAUCCCAUCAAUAAGAUCACCGACUUCCAACCAUACUCCACCCUCAUUGAGCUCGUGCAUCAAGCUACAAAGGCGGAACGUCGAGUGCAAGAUGACUUCAAGUACACCAAGUACUCGUCCAAGACCUACGACUUCUCCAGCAACCAAGCUUCAACACCUCCUCCAACAUCUACAUCAACCAAACCUUCUACAAACAACGACGACAAGGCGAGUUACAAGAAAAAUUCGACAAGUUCAAGUCAUCCUCCUCCUACUACAAGCAACUUCAAGCCGCGUGCUUCGUCAUCUACUCCGACCAAUGAGACCGUCAAGACAAGCUCCUUCAAGUGUUUCACUUGCGGCGGCCGAGGCCACAAGUCCUAUGAAUGCACCAACAAGCGCACCAUGAUCCUCAACGACGAUGGCACAUAUGACUCAAUGAGUGAAGAGGAGAUGGAAGCUCUUGAGCAAGUGGCCAUGCACCGGCGAGUGAACGAGGAUGAAGAUGAUCAAGUCUUUUGUGAUGAGGAUUCGAGCCACUCUCUCGUUGUCUCCAAGGUCUUGACUCUUCAACAUCAACAAGAAGAAGACCAAAUGGUGUAGGGUGGAACCCUAUAGCGUCGAUCUUUCACGUUUGGAGUGGAUCCUACGGGGAAUCACGAAGAACACGCGGAAGCACAAAGGGAAAACAUGGGGAAAAUGAGAGAGAAUGACUAAACCGACAAGGAAUCAAUCACACAAGUGCUAGAUCACCACACAAAAAGAGAUACACGAAAUCCAAAGUCAACAAAGGACGAUACAAACAGUAGCCGUUCUUCUCCGUGAGGAGGACUUGAUGAUGGUCUUCUCCACAAAGGAGGUCUUGAAUCCAAGGUGGAUCUUCUCCGAAGAGGGGCCGCGGUCUCUCUCGUGGAGGAGAUCCGAUAUGGAUGAGCGAAGCUCUAUCUAACAAUGAGCUAAAUCAACGCUAACCCUAACUAGGAGGAGGUGGGGGUCUAUAUAUAGUGUUUGCCCAUGAAGGGGUAAGUGAGAGGGGAUACAUGGGCCUCUGGCCCGUAUCUGCGCGCAGGCAGGCGCCGGAUGUCCGGGCUGGGGGCCGGAUGUCCGGGUGUCCGCGGGAGGCCGGAUGUCCAGGGCGCGGGCCAGAUGUCCAGGCAGGUGUGGCCGGUCUCGGAGCUCUCUGGAUAGCGGGGUCCGGAUGUCCGGGCUGGGGGCCGGAUAUCCGGCGGCUCGGGAAGAGCCGGAUGUCCGGGCCUCUGGACGGAUGUCCGGGCUGAAGGGGUUCAGCUUCGUGUGUCUUCUGCGGUGAGCGCCGGAUUUCCGGGCUGGGGCCGGAUGUCCGUGCUUGCGGGAGGGGCCGGAUGUCCGGGGCCUGGCAGGAUGUACGGGCCCUGUAGCCUUUCUCCGGUUCCUCUCGUCGUGCUCCUUCAUCCUUGUACUUGGGGACUUGUCCAUCAUUCCGAGCAUCUCCGAGAGGGUCUCCUUGGUACCUAGGCAUGUGUAGUGUCCUUGCAUUAGGUAGCAACCAUGUCUCACAUGAAUGGAAAGGAGAAGCAUUUAGGAGCGGGUUCACCUUAGGUCCAAUGACGUAGGCUCCAGUGUACAUGGGGAUGAUCGUCGGACGCUCCGCAUCACCAAAGAUGCCACAUCUUCCACACAAAGGCCGGCAUCAAUGGAAGGUCCGUCAAGGUCAUCAUCGACGGAGGUAGUUGCAACAACUUGGCAAGUGAAGAACUAUGCUCCAAGCUUCAAUUGGUCAAGAGGAAGAACCCGCACCCCUACAAAGUCCAAUGGCAAAGUGACUUCGGCACUAUACGAGUCGAGCAUACGGUCCAAGUAUCCCUCAAAAUUGGUGCAUAUGAGGAUACUUUGUAGUCUGAUGUGGUCCCAAUGACCGUUUGCCACCUCCUUCUUGGUCGACCAUGGCAAUUCGACCGUCGUGUCUUCCACAACGGGCGUACCAAUCACUAUAGCUUCAAGAUGAAAGGGAAGGAAUAUGUGCUACGACCUAUGUCUCCUAGUCAAGUGCUAGCUGACAAAAAAGCCACCCAUCAUGGAGAGAAGAGUGAGAACGUGAUCCACCAAAAAGUGAGUGAGAGCCACAAGCCAAACUUGAGCGCCUCUUCGCCUAGAGAGAAAAACCUCAUCCUAUUUGCCACCAAAAGUGAGAUGAGAGAAGUGUGUGAGAACCCAUCAAGUGUGAUGCACUUUGUCCUUGUGUGCAAGGAUGGAGAGCCAACAACUAACACCUCUCAUGAGCUACCUUCAGUGUUUAAAUCUCUUUUGCAGGAAUUCCAAGAUGUUUUCCCCGAUGAGCUACCUCUGGGUCUACCCCCUCUUCGAGGCAUUGAGCAUCGAAUCGACCUCAUUCCCGGAGCACCACUCCCAAACAAAGGUCCAUACCGAGUCAAUCCCGAAGAAACCAAGGAGAUUCAACAUCAAGUACAACAACUCAUCGACAACGGUCAUGUACGUGAAAGCUUAAGCCCUUGCACCAUUCCCGUUAUACUUGUGCCUAAGCCUGAUGGAAGUUUCCGCUUGUGUUCCGAUUGUAGACCUAUAAAUGCUAUUACCGUUCGCUAUAGGCAUCCCAUUCCUUGCUUAGAUGAUAUGCUUGAUGAACUUAGUGGAGCCAACUUUUUCUCAAAAAUUGAUCUUAAAAGUGGCUAUUAUCAAAUCCGCAUACAAGAGGGUGAUGAAUGGAAAACUGCUUUCAAAACCAAAUUUGGCUUAUACGAGUGGUUAGUCCUGCCUAUGGGUUUGUCGGAAGCUGCCGGUACUUUUGUGCGUCUCAUGCAUUAUGUACUUCGGCCUUAUAUUGGAGUCUUUGUUGUGGUUUAGUUCGACGAUAUUCUUGUGUUUAGCAAAACCAUGAAAGAGCAUCUUGAUCAUGUUACGACUGUUUUGCAAACUCUUCGCAAGGAAAGUCUUUAUGCAAACAUGAAAAAAUGCACAUUUGGUGUUGACAAAGUGGUUUUCUUGGGUUUUGUUGUAUCCUCAAAGGGUGUCCAUGUUGAUGAAUCUAAAAUUGAAGCAAUUAAAACUUGGCCCCCAACCCACCAAUGUGCAACAAGUGCGUAGCUUUCUUGGUCUUGCGGGUUUUUAUCGUCGCUUUGUGAAAGAUUUUAGCACUAUUGCCGCUCCUUUGCAUGCCUUGAGUAAGAAGAAUACUCCUUUUGUUUGGGGAUCUUUGCAAUCCACCGCUUUUGAUGAACUCAAGUCUUUGCUUACUCAUGCUCCGAUUCUUGCUUUGCCCAAUUUUGACAAAACUUUUGAGGUUCAUUGUGAUGCAAGUGGUACCGGAAUUGGCGGAGUUUUGAUGCAAGAAAAACGAGCCAUUGCAUAUUUUAGUGAAAAACUCUCCGGUGCUCAACUUAACUAUCCCAUCUAUGACAAAGAAUUGUAUGCUUUAGUGCGUAUGCUACAUGUUUGGGAACAUUACCUUAGACCGCACGAGUUUGUCAUCCAUACCGAUCAUGAAACGCUUAAGUACUUAAAAGGUCAAACUAAGUUGAAUAAGCGUCAUGCCAAAUGGAGUGAAUUUAUUGAAUCUUUUCCCUAUGUGAUCAAGUACAUUAAGGGUAAAGAAAAUGUAGUUGCCGAUGCCCUUUCACGCAUAUGCACGCUUGUCACUACACUUGAGUUGAAUGUUAUUGGCUUUGAGGACAUAAAAGACUUGUAUGCUAACGACCCAUCUUUUGUUAUUCCUUAUGCUAAGUGUUUGACACAUACUUCUUGGGAUCAAGGAUGGUUAUCUUAUGAGAGCUAACAAACUAUGCAUUCCUGAGUCUUCUCUUCGUUUGCUCCUUUUGCAAGAGGCUCAUGGAGGCGGACUCAUGGGACACUUUGGACACGACAAGACAUUCGCUGCGCUCUCCAAGAACUACUUUUGGCCCAAGAUGUUCCACGAUGUCUCAUGCUUCACCAACCGAUGCUCUACAUGUCGCAAAGCUAAGUCUAAAGCUCAAUCUCAUGGUCUUUACAUGCCUCUUCCUAUUCCUUAUCAACCUUGGGAAGACAUUAGCAUGGAUUUUGUACUUGGUUUGCCUAGAACUCAAAAUGGAAAGGAUUCCGUGUUUGUUAUUGUGGAUAGAUUUUCUAAGAUGGCACAUUUCAUUCCUUGCAACAAGAUAGACGAUGCUUCACACAUUGCAAAUCUCUUUUGUAGGGAAAUCUUGCGACUCCAUGGCAUACCAAAGACAAUCGUCUCCGAUCGCGACGUCAAGUUCUUGAGUUACUCUUGGAAGACCCUAUGCGCCAAGCUCGGAAUCAAGCUCUUGUUCUCAUCCGCAUACCAUCCUCAAACCGACGGCCAAACGGAGGUGACGAACCGCACACUAUCCACUCUACUUCGUGUCUUGAUCAAGAAGAACAUCAAGGAGUGGGAAGCAUGUCUACCCAUCGCCGAGUACGCCUACAACCAUGCAAGACAUUCAACUACCGGCAAGUCCCCCUUCGAGGUCGUCUACGGCUUCAACCCGUUGUCCCCAUUGGACAUUCUACCUCUUCCUCUACAAGAGCGCACCAACAUGGAUGCGAGUGCACGGGCAAGCUACAUCAAGAAGAUGCAUGAGAAUAUAAGACAAACCAUCGAGCACCAAGUACAACGACUAGCGACAAAGCUCAACGUCAACAAGCAACCCAUGGUCUUAAACAUUGGUGAUCUAGUGUGGCUACACCUUCGCAAGGACCGCUUCCCCAACGAACGCAAGUCCAAGAUUCUCCCUCGAGCCGAUGGACCUUUCAAGGUGCUGGCACGCUACAACGACAACACCUACAAGAUCGGCCUACCACAAGACAAGUACAAUGUGAGUGACAUCUUCAACAUCAAGGACCUCGCACCGUACCAUGGUGAUGAGGAUUUUGAUCCGAGGUCGGAUCUUUCACAAGGGGGGGGGGAGAUGAUGCGGAGCAUCCCUCGGUCAUCCCCAUGGACCUUCCAUCGACUAUCCAAGCUCCAAGUGGACCCAUGACAAGAGCAAGAGCUCGUGCUAUUCAAUCCGAGGUGACAUCACUCCUAUUCGAGUUCCCUUUUUCUUCUAGUGAGACAUGGCUACUACCUAAGUCCGAGAUGCUAUGCAUGAUCAGGUACAACGUUCAAGCCAAGGAACCAGGAGCUGAAGAAGAAACGACAUGCGUCAACUCUCUGGACAGCCCGGAACUUCCAGCCACAGCCUGGAACUUCCGGCCCGCCCGGAGCUUCCGGCCUCCGACGACAUCGACCAGCCUGGGUGUGCCAACUAUCUGGUUAGCCCGGAACCGGCCCGGAACCCGGCCCGGACCUUCCGGCCCCCGGAACUUCCAGCCCACACGGACCUUCCGGCCCCCGGAAGCCAGCCCAGUUCCACCCGCGCCAACUCUCUGCUCAAGCCGGACCCUGCCCGGACCUUCCGUCGCCCGGACCUUCCAGCCCCACCCGGAAGUUCCGACCCUGCCUGCGCGCAGCCACUUGGGCCGAGGCCCGUGUACCCUUUCGCUCGGUAAACUAUAUAUACUCCCCCACCUCCUCCUAGCUAGGGUUAGCAUUGGUUUAGCUCAUAUUUCGUGCGAGAGCCCUUGUUCAUCCACUUGGUUACCUUCUCCUCGGAGAUCGCGCCUCCCAGGAGAAGAUCCUUCCAAGGGAUUCAUGACCCCCUCUAGGGUGGACCUCAUCAAGACCUCCUUGCGGAGAAGACCGGCUACUCAUGUAUCUUUCCUUUGUUGAUUUUGAAUCUUGUUCUACCUUAUGUGUUCGGUGAUCUAGCCCUUGUGUGAUCAAUACUUGUCGGUUUAGUGUUUCUCUUGUGUGUUUUCCUUGUGUUCUUCCGCUUGUUCGUCGUGUUCUCCUCAUAGGAUCCCCUCCAAACAUGAAAGAUCUCCGAUUAGGGUUCCGCCCUACAUCACUCUUUCUCUUUUGAGCUCUUUUCUCAUGCAAAACUUCACGAACCAAGAUAGCAAUUGUGUAUGCGAUGACAACUUUGUGACACACAAGUUGAUGCCAAGAUAUGCACCACUUUGGUAUGGUAUGUAUGCUAUGGAUUAUGAUCGCUAAUGUGCGCAAGCCACAUUGCCGGCAAUACUCAAAGGCUAGUCUCGAUGGGUAAGCAACGCAAAAGAUGGGCUAUGAUGGUUAUCAAUGCAAUUGCGAGAUAUGACAAAGGUGUCGUAGAAGUUACCGUCCUUGGCGAUCAUGAGUCCUUGACGAAGAUGAGCGGUGGUGAUGUUGAUGUCGAACCGCACCUAUAUAGCCGAAACACAAUAGGACAUGGGAACCACAACUCAAAUUCUCAAAGACCAAAAACAACAAUGUUGGUAGCGGAAAGCGGAGGUGGUAUAGCGGAUGAUGUGGUGAAAGCCCUAGGCAAAGAUGCCAACAUUCGGAAAAUUAGAUGGUGGCUAAUGAUGUUGUAGACUAUCUAGGUGGAUGGCGGAUGUCAAUAGCUUCUCAACGAGCUAAAGAACGCGAAAAUCGGACUCCGGAUGCGAAAGUUAUGGGCAAAACGGUGAAACUCGGAACGCUGAAACUGGUUGGGCGGUAGUACCGCUUGGGGGCGGUAGUACCGCUUGCCGCGCUUAAGCGGUAGUACCGCUAGGGGAGCGGUAGUACCGCUGGUGUCGGGAUUUUUCGCAGAUCGAAAUGGGGCGUGAUUUUGGGGCGGAAAAGGAUGAUUUUGGGAGCAAAAUUGGAUGGAUUUUGUGGAUGGAAAGAGGUGAAACUUGGGGAGAUGCUAGAUCCACUCGAAACCAAGCAAAUUCGCGGAUCAAAAUCAACAAAACAUCAUCAAAACUAACAAAUCACAAAAAAAUUUGGGGCUAUUUCUGGUGGGGAUUUUCGGAUUUAGGACAAAAACAACAAAAUCAAGCUAGAAAACACGGGGUAGGGGCUCCAAAAACGUGAUCAACGUGGCUCAUGAUACAAAGUUGAUGUAGGGUGGAACCCUAAUCUAAGAUCUUUCACGUUUGGAGGGGAUCCUACGGGGAAAACACUACGAACGAGUGGAAGAACACACGGGAAAACCCACGAGAGAAUCACUAAACCGACAAGUAUCGAUCACACAAGGGCUAGAUCACCGAACACAAAAGGUAGCACAAGAUUCAAAAUCAACAAAUGAAAGAUACACGAGUAGUCGUUCUUCUCCGUGAGGAGGUCUUGAUUGUCUUCCCUUGAAGGGGUCUUGAAUCCGCUUGGGGGAUCUUCUCCGAAGAGGUCCUGAGCUCCGAGGAGAAGUAACCAAGUGGAUGAGCAAGGCUCUCACACAAAAUAUGAGCUAAACCAAUGCUAAUCCUAGAAAGGACGAGGGGAUGGUCUAUUUAUAGUCUAAGCCUUCAAAGGGGUAAAAUAGGGGCGAAAAGGGUACAUGGGCCUCGGCCCGGAUUCGCUGCACACAGGCAGGGCGGUAGUACCGGCCCUCGGGCGGUAGUACCGCUUGCAGAGCUUAAGCGGUAGUACCGCUGUGAUGGGCAGUAGUACCGCUGUGGAGCCGUUCGAUCACUUGAGUUUGUUGGGUUCGGCGGUAGGGCGGUGGAUGUAGAGCGGCAGUACCGCUUGUGGUACUAAGCGGUAGUACCGCUUGUCGGGGCGGUAGUACCGCUUGUCGGGGCGGUAGUACCGCCUGCUCCAGGCUGGGAAACUUCUCCGCUUGCUCUCGACGUCCAUCUUGUACUGUAGCUUCUUCUUGGUUGGUUCCUUGGUACCUAAUCACACAAAGCAUCUUCGCUUGAGGUAGUAGCCAUGUCUCAAGUGUAGGAAGAGGGAUUUCGGAGAGGAGCAAGUUCACCUUAUUUUUAAUAGCCUUAGCUAGAGCUCGAGUCAUGGGUCCAAGUGGUAUUGAGUAAGAUGUAGGUGCGUCCAUGGGGAUGAGCGAGGGAUGCUCUGCAUCAUCUCCCCCCACUUGGGAGAGAUCCGACCUCGGAUGAAAAGCUUCAUCUCCAUGGUAUGGCGUGAGGUCCUUGACGUUGAAGAUGUCGCUCACAUUGUAUUUGUCUCGUGGUAGGUCGAUCUUGUAGGCGUUGUCGUUGUAGGGUGCUAGCACCUUGAAAGGUCCAUCGGCUCGAGGGAGAAGCUUGGACUUGCGUUCGUUGGGGAAGCGGUCCUUGCGAAGGUGUAGCCACACUAGAUCACCAAUGUUGAAGACCAUGGGUUGCUUGUUGACGUUGAGCUUGGUCGCUAGUCGUUGUACUUGGCGCUCGAUGGUGUGCCUUGUAUCUUCGUGCAUCUUCUUGAUGUAGUUAGCCCAUGCACUCGCAUCCAUGUUGGUGCGCUCUUGUAGAGGAAGAGGUAGAAUGUCCAAUGGGGACAACGGGUUGAAGCCGUAGACGACCUCGAAAGGGGACUUGCCGGUAGUCGAAUGUCUUGCUCGGUUGUAGGCGUACUCGGUGAUGGGUAGACAUGCUUCCCACUCCUUGACGUUCUUCUUGAUCAACACGCAAAUUAGAGUGGAGAGUGUCCGGUUCGUCACCUCCGUUUGGCCGUACCACAAAUCAGUAUAUCAUCAAAAUAGACUACCACAAAUCGGCCAAUGAAAGCACGUAAAACUUCGUUCAUUAAUUUCAUGAAAGUACUAGGUGCAUUAGUUAACCCAAAAGGCAUGACUGACCACUCAUAUAAUCCAAACUUAGUUUUAAAUGUUGUUUUCCAUUCAUCUCCCAAUUUCAUAUGAAUUUGAUGGUAUCCACUACGGAAAUCAACUUCGGAGAAUUUUGUAGAGCCACCCAGUUAAUCAAGCAUAUCAUCUAGCCUUGGAAUAGGAUGACGAUAACGAAUAUUAAUAUUAUUAAUACCUCUACAAUCAACACACAUAUGCAAUGUACCAUCCUUUUUUGGCACUUGUAUAAUAGGAACAACACAAGGACUAAGAGAUUCGCGUAUAUAACCUUUGUCAAGCAGCUCAUGUACUUGACGCAUAAACUUCUUCGUCUCCUCUGGAUUGGUACGGUAUGGUGCACGGUUGGGUAGUGAUGCACCGGGAAUUAAGUCAAUCUAAUCCUCAAUCCCUCGAAUAGGUGGUAAUCCCGGUGGCAUGUAUUGUGGAAAGACGUCAGCAAACUCCUGCAAAAUGUUAGUGACAGCAGGAUUGAUGCGGAGCAUCCUUCCAUCAUCCCCAUGGACUCUACACCGACACAUCAAGCCCCACGUGGACCCAUGACAAGAGCAAGAGCACGUGCUUUGGAAACCAAGGUGAAUUCCUUCAAACUAGAUUUUCAUAUGGACACGAAUGGAACAUGUUUACUACCUCACCAAAAUGUGCUAUUGAUGCGGAGCAUCCCUCACUCAUCCUCAUGGAUGCACAUACAUCUUCCUCAACACCACGUGGACCCAUGACUCGAGCCCGAGCUAAGGCUAUCGAAGAAAAGGUGAACUCGCUCCUCUCCGAACUCCCUCUUCCUACUCACGAGACAUGGCUACUACCUCAUUCGGAAACUCUAUGUGUAAUCGGGUACAUGGAGAUGAGCCAAGGGACAACUACCUGCAAGAGCCAAGACGACGAGGACCCCAAGCAUGUUGAAGAAGAAGAAGAGAAGCUUCUGAAGCUAUAGGCAUCGGACGUCCGACCAAGUCCGGACGUCCGACGACUCGCAGGCCACGGACGACCGACGCCCUCCGGACGUCCGGCAGCUGGGCACCCGAAUGGAAACUCACGGACGACCGAAGCCUCCGGACGUCCAACCGAUGCACGCCCGAACCGAAUCUACGGAUGUCCGAAGGCCACCAGACGUCCGGACCCUCGCGAACCUCCGGACGACCGGUGACUUCCGGACGUCCGACGCCUGUGUGUUGACUUUGAUUGGGCCGCAACCAUUGUACCCCUUCGCCCCCUAGACUAUAUAUACUCUUUCUUCCCCACCUUUCUAGGGUUAGCAAUAGUUUAGCUCAUGUUUGUGUGAGAGCUUUGCUCAUCCACUUGGUUACCUUCUCCUCGGAGCUCAGGACCUCUACGGACAAGAUUCCCCAACCGGAUUCAAGACCCCCUUCUAGGGUGGACCCCAUCAAGACCUCCUCACGGAGAAGAACGGCUACUCAUGUAUCUUUCCUUUGUUGAUUUUGAAUCUUGUGCUACCUUAUUUGUUCGAUGAUCUAGCCCAUGUGUGAUCGAUACUUGUCGGUUUCGUGUUCCUAUUGUGUGUUUUCCUUGUGUUCUUCCGCUCGUUCGUCGUGUUCUCCCCAUAGGAUCCCCUCCAAACGUGAAAGAUCCCCGAUUAGGGUGCCGCCCUACAUCAUCUUGGUAUCAUGAGCCACGUUGAUCACGAUUUUUGAGCCCCUACCCCGUGUUUUCUAGCUUGAUUUUGUUGUUUUCUUCCUAAUUUCGAAAAUCACCACCAAAAAUAGCCCCAAUUUUUUUUUUGUAAUUUGUUGGUGAGUUGAGAUUUUGUUGGAUUUGGUCCGUGGAUUUGAGUUGCUACGUGUGGAUCUAGCUUUUCCCGCCCUCCCCACCCUUUUCCAUCCAUCCAUCCGCUCAAUUUCGACAUCACCACCUUCUUCCACCUCACAAUCACCCAGUUCAUCCCGAGUUGACUUUCGUUCACCGGACGUCCGACCUUUCCGGACGACCGGAGCCCCUGUCCCGAUUCGACUACACGAAUUUCCGAGCCCCGUCGGACAUCCGACGACCGAACGACCGCACUUUUCGGACGUCCGUCGAACCUGACGAAACUGAAAUUCUUCAGUUUAUCCACCCCCACCACCCCACCUUCCACCACAUCUUCCAAUACCACUUACACCACCAUCCUCCCCAAUACCUCCUAUGAGUAUUAUGCCCCAUUUUGGUCCUUGAGAUUUUCAGUUGUGGUUCCUGUGUCCUAUUGUGUUUCGGCUAUCUAGGUAUGGUUCGACAUCAUCAUCACCAUGACUCAUCUUCGCAAGGGUCACAUCAUCGCCAAGGACGAUAACAUGGUCGACAUCUUUGUCAUACCUUGCAAUUGCAUUGCUACCCACAUGGCCUUACUUUUGCGUAGCUUACCCAUCGAGACUAGCCAUUGAGUAUUGUCGGCAACAUGACUUGUGCACAUUAGUGAUCAUACUCCAUAGCAUACAUACCAUACCACUGUGGUGCAUAUCUUGGGAUCCAUUUGUGUGUCACAAAGUUGUCAUAGCAUACACAAUUGCUAUCUUGGUUCGCGAAGUUUUGCAUGAGAAAAGAGCUCAAAAGUGAAAGAGCCACCCAAGCUUUAAAGCAAAGAGGAAAGAUAAGCAAAGAGCUUAUUAGCAAGAACCAUAGUAUCAUACUACAUUAAGAUUGUCAUAUUGGAUCAUCUUGGAUCAUAGCACCGAAAUACCAUACAUAUAGCAUAUGUGGGAUAGAGAUAGUUGCAUUUUUGCCUAGUAGGUUGUGCACAAUUUCCGUAUCCGCCUAUUGUGCAAUCGUGCUAGCGUCUCUCUAGUAUUGUGCAACAAGAGCAUUUUCGUGGAUUCCACAUUUUGGCUCACUUUUGGUUUGCACAAUCCCACUUAUCUAUUUGCGUGUGUGUUUCUGUGUACCACUAUUUUCUUGGUCUACUUGUUGCAUUUGCAAAUUUGUGAACCUUUUCCAACAUUAUUGACGCUCACUUCUAAUUGCAUCAAAUUUUGUACCACCAUCCUCACCAAGCUCCACCAUAAGCUUUUAUUUGUGUAGGUGUGAGAACCGACAAGGAUUGGUACCAAUAGUGCUAUUUCAUUGUCCGCAUUUGAGUUGAUGAGGACAUCAAUACCAUUGUUACACCCACAUCCCCUGCUGCUAUACAUACUGGACCAAUUACUAGAGCUCGCGCACGCCAACUAAAUUACCAGGUACUUUCGUUUCUUGGUAAUGAUUCUAAUGUUCAUGAGAAUAUGAUGCUGCCUAAAUUGGAUACAUUUGUUUUGCUUACAAAUGAAGGGCCUAGCUUGGAGAAGGAUGAACAUUGGAGCAAGAACAAGCAUGGAGAUGAUGGCAUGCGCAAGGGGAACAAGAACGGAGUUACAAGUGAUGAUUUCAGGACUUUGAAGCCACCAUAAUGAGUACAUGAAGCCUUGGACGAAAUAUACAAGAUGCCACUUUAAGGUGUUGUGUCACCUUAUUAUUGGGCCAGGCCCAUGUAAUUUCGAAAUACAUAAGUAUAGGCUGUUUUUAGAGUCCGUAUGUGUGGGGAAACAAGAGAUAGGGUUGGCUUCGGACCCCUUCCCCAAGGGCCACGAAAUCCCCCCCCCCUCUUUCUCCAUAUAUAUAGCCCUUAGGGCACCGUUUAGACUGGGGGUUUUGCUUAGAAUAAAAGUUCGCCAUAGCUGCAACUUCGCGCACUUCGUUUGUGUUCAACGACCAGACCAAGGCGUCAUAGAACCCCACCUUGAUCAAUAAAGCUUUCAUCUUAUAUUCGCAAUAUCCAGAUUGCAAUCUCAGUUUCUUGCUUGUUUUUCGUUUGCUCGCAGGAAACAGACCCUCGUGGUCAGGUUGAUCGUGCUCUGGCGUGGUCAAUAACCUCUCGGAGUUGGUUUAGCGAUUGCUAAGGCGCGACGUCCUCGCACGUUCGUAGUCGGAUCGUCAAAGUCGAUUUCCACCAAAGCGAUAUCCAUCAUCUCAUCGAAAGACGGGACACCUUUGCCUCUAUCAAGUGGUAUCAGAUUUCCAGGUUGCUCGGUGAGAUUUUAUAGUUUUUCGUAGUUUAGAUCGAGUCUGUUCUUCAUAACUAUAGUCCACAAAAAAGCCAAAACAAAUUAGGGUUAGUUCAUCCUAUCUGUACCAGUCUGAGCCUUUGCAUAGUCUUUUCAGUAUUUUGCUUUGUUGAAUUUGCGGUUGCAUCGUCGCGUCAAGUUGCUGGUCUUAGUGUCUAGUCCUUUAGAGUUUCGAGUUCUGUCACAGUUUGUCACGCCGCCGCCGCACCAUCUUCAUCGCUGUUGCCAUAUCCCACCACCGCUGCCAUAUCCCACCAACGCUGCCUUAUACCACCACCGCUGCCAUAUACCACCACCGCUGCCAUAUCCCACCAACGCUGCCAUAUACCACCGAUCCAUAUCCUACCACCAAAUAUCCACCACCAAUCCGAGUUCUUUUCGUAUUAGGUUUUUUUCCGAGAUCCAUCUAAUUUCCGUUUCGUGUUUCCUUGCCUGCGUAGGUUUCGGAAAAAAAAAUUCGGCGACCCCCGGGCAGUUUUUAGGCCAAAAUUUCGGCGACCGAAAAUAUUUUUUCCCUAUCCUAUUUUUAGGUCCCCAGGAGUGUUUUGAGACAUUCGCCAUCAUAGUGAUUUUUCGUCGCACUUUUUCGUCGUCGCUGCCCUGAUUUCCGAAAAUAAAUUGUCAAAAAAUUUUGUGCCCAUCCUGUCAGUUUGACCUGGGAAGAGUUUUGAGACACUCGCCAUUAUAGUGAUUUUUCGCAAAAAAAAGCAGCGCAAAAAAAAAGAGCAGCACAAAAAAAAGAGCGAAAAAAAAUUCCAGAGUGUGCUUUUCCCUUGUUUACGUGCAGCGCCGUGAUUUUGUUAGUGUUCUAGGCUCGCGUCUCUAGCACGGUCUAGCCUAGGACCAGCAAAGUACCAUCGUUGAGCGUUUAUUCAACUUUGCAUCUCUGAAUUGAUUAUUGCUGACCCUUUUUGCUACCAUAUUAUAAGCCUUCCCAGCUCCACAUACAUCUACGUCGUGCGUUUGACUCUCCCUGGUAAUCGCUCUAUCCAACCUUUGAGAGUUUUGACUACAACGGUUGCCGAUCACCGCCUGCUGCUGGGUAAGAACUGGUAAGAAUUUGAGAUUUGCUUGACGGGUUUGUGAUACACCACCACCUAUUCCUAGUAGUUUAUAGGAUCAUAUUCUUGUUUGUUUCUAUUUGCUGCUAACCAUGGCAGGAUCACAAGCCGAUGAGACUGAUUGGGAGAACUUGAUAAACAAACAGCUACAUGCUAAAUUUCAGCAAAUGAUGAGUGGAUAGGUGCAAGAUGUGCUAAACAGAUUUGAAGAGGCCAUGGAGAAGAUAGAUGGCAUUGAGAAGACGUUCGAAACAAAGCUUGAUAACAAAUUUAAUGAAUUGCUCGCGCGUUUUCCACAACCACCGCUGACUGCACCUAUUGCACCUCUGCAACGACAACAACAACGCCCCCUUCCGAAUCAGUAUGGACGAGCGCAGUGUGUUCCUCUUGAGGAUGGCCAAACUUCUGGUGCUGCUGUACCUGUUGUUCAUGCUUCAUUGGCUCCUACUACUGCUGCUGCUGGUACCCAGGAGGAUGAUGACUAUGCGGGCGAUUAUGAGGAUGAGGUUGAUCAAAAUCAGAACUACGUGCAGCCACCAGCACCACCACCAGCAGGUCGACCUCAGGUAUAUAAUCACAAUGGUAGGCCUGCACCACCACUUCAGGUACGAGAUCAUGACCAUCUCCCUAAACUGAAAUUGAAUAUUCCACCAUUUGAGGGUAGAUAUGUUCCUGAUAUAUAUCUUACUUGGGAGUUAGAAACUGAACAACGAUUUACAUCUUUAUAAUAUCCUAAGGAUAGACGUGUUCCUGCUGCUGUUUGUGCUUUCACUAGCUUUGCAUGUGUUUGGUGGUCUGAACAUUGUCGAUUAUAUCCUGUUCCAGCUACUUGGGCUACUUUGAAAACUGCUAUGCGUACUCGUUGGGUUCCACCAUAUUAUCAACGUGAAUUACUUCAAAAAUUGCAGCGCUUAAGAAAAGGAAAAAAUUCGGUAGAAGAAUAUUAUCAGGAAUUACAAACUGGCUUGAUUAGAUGUGGUAUUGUUGAGGAGAAUGAAGCUAUGCUUGCACGUUUUCUGGGUGGAUUAAAUACAGAGAUUCAGACCAUUCUAGACUAUAAGGAUUAUAAUAAUAUCACUCAUUUAUUCCAUCUUGCUUGUAAAGCUGAACGUGAAGUGCAGGAUCGACAGGCAUUGGCGCGCACUAACUUUUCUGCAGGUCGACCUUCAUCAUGGACACCACGUGCAUCAUCUACUUCCACAGCACCAUCACCUCCUUCAGGUGCCACCUCCAACCGUGAUACACGAAAGCAGGCACUACCACCACUAUCUGCCAAGAGCACACUUGCCGGACCUACACAGAGCUCUUCUUCUUCCAUGGCGUCAACAGGGCACACAAGUGAUAUUAUUUGUCGUCUUUGUAAGGGAAGAGGACAUUUUGCGAGAGAAUGUAAAUCUCAGUGUGUGAUGAUUGCUACUGAGGAUGGUGGGUAUGAGUCCGUUAGUGACUAUGAUGAGGAGACUUUGGCUCAUAUUACACACGAGGAACACGGUGGAGAUGAUUCUGAUCAUGAGACACAAUACAUGGCUGCUGAAGAUGCUGACAGGUAUGAAUGUUUAGUUACUCAACGUGUUUUGAGUGUGAAGGUUACACAAGCUGAGCAAAAUCAGAGGCAUAAUUUGUUCCAUACAAUUGGAGUUGUGAAGGAACGUUCUAUUCGCGUCAUCAUAGAUGGAGGGAGCUGCAACAACUUGGCUAGCACGGAGAUGGUGGAGAAGCUAUCUCUCACCACAAGACCACAUCCACAUCCUUACUACAUCCAAUGGUUCAACAACAGCGGCAAGGUUAAGGUAACACGUACUGUUCGUGUGCAUUUUAGUAUCUCUACAUAUGCUGAUUAUGUUGAUUGUGAUGUGGUACCUAUGCCAGCAUGUUCCUUAUUACUUGGUAGACCAUGGCAAUUUGAUAAAAAUUAUGUACACCAUGGUAGAAACAAUCAGUAUACUCUUGUUCAUAAGGAUAAAAAUAUUACUUUGCUUCCUAUGACUCUUGAUUCCAUUUUGAAAGAUGAUAUUAAUAGAGCUAAUAAAGCAAAACAGGAGAAAACUAAGAGUGAAAUCAGAUUGUGGCAAAAGAAUUUGAGCAACAAAUGAAGCCUAAUAUUAAACCAUCUAGUGUUGUUUCUGAAAUAAAAUUGAGAAGUGCAUGUUUACUUGCCACUAAAUCUGAUAUUGAUGAGCUAGAUUUCAGCAAUUCUGUUUGCUAUGCUUUUGUGUGCAAAGAGGCAUUAUUUUCAUUCCAGGACGUGCCUUCCUCUUUGCCUCCUGCUGUCACUAACAUUUUGCAGGAGUUCGCUGACGUCUUUCCACAAGACGUGCCACCGGGAUUACCUCCCAUUCGAGGGAUUGAGCAUCAGAUUGACUUAAUUCCCGGUGCAUCCUUACCCAACCGUGCACCAUACCGUACCAAUCCAGAGGAGACGAAGGAGAUUAUGCGUCAAGUACAGGAGCUGCUCGACAAAGGUUAUAUACGCGAAUCCCUUAGUCCUUGUGUUGUUCCUAAUAUUCUAGUGCCGAAAAAGGAUGGUACAUCACGUAUGUGUGUUGAUUGUAGAGGCAUUAAUAAUAUUACUAUUCGUUAUCGUCAUCCUAUUCCUAGGCUGGAUGAUAUGCUUGAUGAAUUGAGUGGCUCUACAAUAUUCUCCAAAGUUGAUUUGCGUAGUGGAUACCAUCAAAUUCUUAUGAAAUUGGGAGAUGAAUGGAAAACAGCAUUUAAAACUAAGUUUGGAUUAUAUGAGUGGUUAGUCAUGCCUUUUGGGUUAACUAAUGCACCUAGUACUUUCAUGAGAUUAAUGAACGAAGUUUUACGUGCUUUCAUUGGACGAUUUGUGGUAGUUUACUUUGAUGACAUAUUAAUUUAUAGCAUAUCUUUGGAGGAACAUUUGGAAGAUUUACGUGCUGUUUUAUUGCUCUACGUGAUGCACGUUUGUUUGGUAACCUUGGGAAGUGCACCUUUUGCACCGACCGAGUAUCUUUUCUUGGCUAUGUUGUUACUCCACAGGGAAUUGAAGUUGACAAAGCCAAGAUUGAAGCUAUUGAGAGUUGGCCACAGCCCAAAACUGUCACACAAGUGAGGAGUUUUCUUGGCCUCGCUGGAUUCUAUAGGCGUUUUUGAGAGAUUUCAGCACCAUUGCUGCACCUCUCAACGAGCUUACAAAGAAGGAUGUGCCUUUUGUUUGGGGUACCACAUAGGAAGAAGCCUUCACGGUAUUGAAAGAUAAGUUGACACAUGCUCCUUUACUCCAACUUCCUGAUUUUAAUAGGACUUUUGAGCUUGAAUGUGAUGCUAGUGGAAUUGGAUUAGGAAGUGUGUUAUUACAAGAUGGCAAACCUGUUGCAUACUUUUCUAAAAAAUUGAGUGGGCCUAGUCUGAAUUAUUCUACUUAUGAUAAAGAAUUAUAUGCUCUUGUUCAGACUUUAGAAACAUGGCAACAUUAUUUAUGGCCCAAAGAAUUUGUUAUACAUUCUGAUCAUGAAUCUUUGAAACAUAUUAAAAGUCAAGCUAAACUGAAUCAUAGACAUGCUAAAUGGGUUGAAUUCAUUGAGACUUUCCCUUAUGUCAGUAAACACAAGAAGGGUAAAGAAAAUGUUAUUGUUGAUGCAUUGUCUCGUCGCUAUACUAUGCUUUCACAACUUGACUUCAAAAUAUUUGGUUUGGAGACCAUAAAAGAUCAAUAUGUGCAUGAUGCUGAUUUUAAAGGUGUAUUGCAGAAUUGUAAAGAAGGAAGAACAUGGAACAAGUUCGUCGUUAAUGAUGGAUUUUUGUUCCGUGCUAACAAGCUAUGCAUUCCAGCUAGCUCCAUUCGUCGUUUGUUGUUGCAGGAGGCGCAUGGAGGAGGACUAAUGGGACACUUUGGCGUGAAGAAGACGGAGGAUGUACUUGCUACAAAUUUCUUUUGGCCAAAGAUGAGACGGGAUAUUGAGCGUUUUAUUGCUCGCUGCACUACAUGUCAAAAAGCUAAGUCACGACUCAAUCCUCAUGGUUUAUAUAUGCCUUUGCCUGUACCUAGUGUUCCUUGGGAGGAUAUAUCUAUGGACUUUGUUUUAGGUUUACCUAGAACAAAGAAGGGGAGGGAUAGCAUAUUUGUUGUCGUGGAUAGAUUCUCGAAAAUGGCACACUUUAUACGAUGUCAUAAAAGCGAUGAUGCUGUUAAUGUUGCUGAUUUGUUCUUUCGUGAAAUUAUUCGCUUGCAUGGUGUGCCAAAUACUAUUGUUUCUGAUCGUGAUACUAAAUUUCUUAGCUACUUUUGGAGAUGUUUAUGGGCUAAGUUGGGGACUAAACUGCUUUUUAGUACUACUUGUCACCCCCAAACUGAUGGACAAACUGAAGUAGUCAAUAGAACAUUGUCUACUAUGCUUAGGGCUGUUUUGAAGAAUAAUAAGAAAAUGUGGGAGGAAUGCUUGCCUCAUAUUGAAUUUGCUUAUAAUCGUUCAUUGCAUUCUACUACUAAGAUGUGCCCUUUUGAAGUUGUGUAUGGUUUCCUACCUCGUGCACCUAUUGAUUUGUUGCCUCUUCCAUCUUCGGAGAAGGUUAAUUUUGAUGCUAAACAACGUGCUGAAUUGAUUUUAAAAAUGCAUGAGUUAACUAAGGAAAACAUAGAACGUAUGAAUGCUAAAUAUAAACUUGCUGGAGAUAAGGGUAGAAAACAUGUUGUGUUUGCACCUGGAGAUCUUGUUUGGUUACAUUUGCGUAAGGAUAGAUUUCCUGAGUUGCGCAAAUCAAAGCUAAUGCCACGUGCUGAUGGUCCCUUUAAGGUGUUGGAAAAAAUAAAUGAUAAUGCAUAUAAACUUGAGCUGCCUGCAGAUUUUGGGGUUAGUCCCACUUUUAACAUUGCAGAUUUGAAGCCUUAUUUGGGUGAGGAAGAUGAACUUCCGUCGAGGACGACUUCAUUUCAAGAAGGGGAGGAUGAUGAGGACAUCAAUACCAUUGUUACACCCACAGCCCCUGCUGCUAUACAUACUGGACCAAUUACUAGAGCUCACGCACGCCAACUAAAUUACCAGGUACUUUCGUUUCUUGGUAAUGAUUCUAAUGUUCAUGAGAAUAUGAUGCUGCCUAAAUUGGAUACAUUUGUUUUGCUUACAAAUGAAGGGCCUAGCUUGGAGAAGGAUGAACAUUGGAGCAAGAACAAGCAUGGAGAUGAUGGCAUGCGCAAGGGGAACAAGAACGGAGUUACAAGUGAUGAUUUCAGGACUUUGAAGCCACCAUAAUGAGUACAUGAAGCCUUGGACGAAAUAUACAAGAUGCCACUUCAUAAACUUCGUCCAGAGGCUGUUCUAGGUGCUGUGUCACCUUAUUAUUGGGCCAGGCCCAUGUAAUUUCGAAAUACAUAAGUAUAGGCUGUUUUUAGAGUCCGUAUGUGUGGGGAAACAAGAGAUAGGGUUGGUUUCGGACCCCUUCCCCAAGGGCCACGAAAUCCCCCCCCCCUCUUUCUCCAUAUAUACAGCCCUUAGGGCACUGUUUAGACUGGGGGUUUUGCUUAGAAUAAAAGUUCGCCAUAGCUGCAACUUCGUGCACUUCGUUUGUGUUCAACGACCAGACCAAGGCGUCACAGAACCCCACCUUGAUCAAUAAAGCUUUCAUCUUAUAUUUGCAAUAUCCAGAUUGCAAUCUCAGUUUCUUGCUUGUUCUUCGUUUGCUCACAGGAAACAGACCCUCGUGGUCAGGUUGAUCGUGCUCUGGCAUGGUCAAUAUCCUCUCGGCGUUGGUUUAGCGAUUGCUAAGGCGUGACGUCCUCGCACGUUCGUAGUCGGAUCGUCAAAGUCGAUUUCCACCAAAGCGAUAUCCAUCAUCUCAUCGAAAGACGGGACACCUUUGCCUCUAUCAUGAGUGAACUUGAUUCAUCAUCAACAUCGGUCAAAGGUACAUUGGUAUAAGUUCUUCUCCUUCUACCACUCACAUAUUUUGCUUGGAAUGAUGGAUAGGCCAAGUACUUCUACCAACCCACUCUUCCUCGAGCAAGACGAUGACAUGUCUUCAUACGUCACCAAGAGCCACCUCUUUGGUGCACAAAGAGCGUUGCACCAAGAGCAACAAGCAAUGAGCGACCGCAUCGACAACCUCGCCACCGACUUACGACUCUCCGUGCAACGUACAAGAGACUACUUUGACAACAAGUUCGACGCUCACAAGCAACGGAAUGAUGCAAGAAUGGACGAGAUCCGCGCCUUGAUGAGGAACCGGCAUCAUUCCACUUCUUCAUCCUCAAGACGGAGCCGCUCGAGUCGACACUCCGACGACACCUUCUACGACUCAAGUACACCAUCAUCAAACACUCUUUGACGAGCCGCGCGUCAAGACCGUCAUGCAUCUCGCAACCCGCUACAUGACAAGCAUUCACAAGAGCAAGUCGAUGAGAAAGUCCCUCGUCCUCAAUCAAACCAAGCCGCUUUUGCCCAAGCUCAAGAACGACAACGACUACGGCGCCAAGAGGAAGGACGAGUGCGUCUACACCAAGAAGAACAAGACGCCGAGGCGCAACGUCUUCAACGACAACAACGAGAAGCGCAAGCUCUUGAGGCGCAACGUGCCCUUCAAGAAUCAAGUCGAGCCAUCGCCAACUGCAAUCGCGAACGGCGCACUCAAGAAGAAGCCCUUCGAGAAGAAAUACAAGAGAGGAACUAUCAACCGCACGUGCAACGUCAAGUUCCUCUAGCUCCUCAAGCCCCACCUCAACCUCAAGUUCAACAAGAGCAAGUUGAUCAUGGACUUCCUCCACGCCAUUAGCAACAGGAAGAUGAUUGUCAUCCACGUCAAGGGCGUCAUCAUCACCAUCGCCAACAACACAAUGAAGAGCAACGAUAUGGAAAGCUCAAAUUCACCAUGCCCAAGUUCAAUGGAAGCAAUGACCCCGAAGAAUAUCUCUCAUGGGCAUUGAAGGUCGACAAAAUCUUUCAUUUGCACAACUAUGAUGAAGAGAAGAAAAUCGCCAUGGCAUCACUUGAGUCCCAAGACUAUGUGCUCAUAUGGUGGGAACAAAUCCUUGAGAGGCGACAAGCAAGAGCUGAACCCCCAAUCAUCACUUGAGCUCAAAUGAAGGAUGUGAUGCAAGCACGUUUUGUGCCAACCUACUACAACCGCGACCUCUUCAAAAAACUCCAACUCCUCAAGCAAGGAACAAAGAGUGUCGAAGAAUACUACAAGGAAAUGGAGAUAGCCAUGAUUCGAGCCAAUGUCAAGGAAGAUGAUGAACAAACAAUUGCACGUUUCUUGAAUGGAGUCAAUCAUCCCAUCAAGAAGAUCGCCGACUUCCAACCAUACACCACCCUCAUUGAGCUCGUGCGUCAAGCUACAAAGGCGGAACGUCAAGUGCAAGAUGACUUCAAGUACGCCAAGUACUCGUCCAAGACCUACGGCUUCUCCAACAACCAAGCUUCAACACCUCCUCCAACAUCUACAUCAACCAAACCUUCUCCAAACAACGACGACAAGCCAAGUUACAAGAAAAAUUCGACAAGUUCAAGUCGUCCUCCUCCUACUACGAGCAACUUCAAGCCGCGUGCUUCGUCAUCUACUCCGACCGAUGAGACCGUCAAGACAAGCUCCUUCAAGUGUUUCACUUGCGGCGGCCGAGGCCACAAGUCCUACGAAUGCACCAACAAGCGCACCAUGAUCCUCAACGACGAUGGCACCUAUGACUCAAUGAGUGAUGAGGAGAUGGAAGCUCUUGAGCAAGUGGCCAUGCACCGGUGAGUGAACAAAGAUGAAGAUGAUCAAGUCGUUUGUGAUGAGGAUUUGAGCCCCGCUCUCGUUGUUUCCAAGGUCUUGACUCUUCAACAUCCACAAGAAGACGACCAAAGAUGCCACAUCUUCCACACAAAGGCCGGCAUCAAUGGACGGUCCGUCAAGGUCAUCAUCGAUGGAGGUAGUUGCCACAACUUGGCAAGUGAAGAACUAUGCUCCAAGCUUCAAUUAGUCAAGAGGAAGCACCCACACCCCUACAAGGUUCAAUGGCUAAGUGACUCCGGCACUAUACGAGUUGAGCAUACGGUCCAAGUCUCCUUCAAAAUUGGUGCAUAUGAGGACACUUUGGAAUGUGAUGUGGUCCCAAUGACGGUUUGCCACCUCCUUCUUGGUCGACCAUGGCAAUUCGACCGUGGUGUCUUCCACAAUGGACGUACCAAUCACUCUAGCUUCAAGAUGAAAGGGAAGGAAUACGUGCUACGACCUAUGUCUCCUAGUCAAGUGUUAGCCGACAAGCAAACCACCCAUCAUGGAGAGAAGAGUGAUAAAGUGAUCCACCACAAAGUGAGUGAGAGCCACAAGCCAAACUUGAGCGCCUCUUCGCCUAGAGAGAAAAACCUCAUCCUAUUUGCCACCAAAAGUGAGAUGAGAGAAGUGUGUGAGAACCCAUCAAGUGUGAUGCACUUUGUCCUUGUGUGCAAGGAUGGAGAGCCAACAACUAACACCUCUCAUGAGCUACCUUUUGUGUUUCAAUCUCUUCUGCAGGAAUUCCAAAAUGUUUUCCCCGAUGAGCUACCUCCGGGUCUACCUCCUCUUCGAGGCAUUAAGCAUUGAAUCGACCUCAUCCCCGGAGCGCCUCUACCAAACAAAGCUCCAUACCGGGUCAAUCCCGAAGAAACCAAGGAGAUUCAACAUCAAGUACAACAACUCAUCGACAACGGUCAUGUACGUGAAAGCUUAAGCCCUUGUGCCGUUCCCGUUAUACUUGUGCCUAAGCCCGAUGGAAGUUUCCGCUCGUGUUCCGAUUGUAGACCCAUCAAUGCUAUUACUGUUCGCUAUAGGCAUCCCAUUCCUCGCUUAGAUGAUAUGCUUGAUGAACUUACUGGAGCCAACUUUUUCUCAAAAAUUGAUCUUAAAAGUGGCUAUUAUCAAAUCCGCAUUCAAGAAGGUGAUGAAUGGAAAACUGCUUUCAAAACCAAAUUUGGUUUAUAUGAGUGGUUAGUCAUGACUAUGGGUUUAUCGGAAGCUCCCGGUACUUUUGUGCGUCUCAUGCAUUUUGUGCUUCGGCCUUAUAUUGGAGUCUUUGUUGUGGUUUACUUUGACGAUAUUCUUGUGUUUAGCAAAACCAUGAUAGAGCAUCUUGAUCAUGUUAGGGCUGUUUUGCAAACCCUUCGCAAGGAAAGUCUAUAUGCAAACAUGAAAAAUGCAUAUUUGGUGUUGACAAAGUGGUUUUCUUGGGUUUUGUUGUAUCCUCAAAGGUCAAACUAAGUUGAACAAGCGUCAUGGCAAAUGGAGUGAAUUUAUUGAAUCUUUUCCCUAUGUGAUCAAGUACAUUAAGGGUAAAGAAAAUGUAGUUGCCGAUGCACUUUCACGCAUAUGCACGCUUGUCACUAAACUUGAGUUGAAUGUUAUUGGCUUUGAGCACAUAAAAGACUGGUAUGCUAAUGAUUCAUCUUUUGCUAUUCCUCAUGCUAAGUGUUUGACGUAUACUUCUUGGGAACAAUAUACAUCAAAGAUGGUUAUGUUAUGAGAGCUCGCAAACUAUGUAUUCCCGAGUCUUCUCUUCGUUUGCUCCUUGUGCAAGAGGCUCAUGGAGGCGGACUCAUGGGACACUUUGGACGCGACAAGACAUUCGCCACGCUCUCCAAGAACUACUUUUGGCCCAACAUGUUCCGCGACGUCUCACGCUUCACCAACUGAUGCUCUACAUGUCGCAAAGCUAAGUCUAAAGCUCAAUCUCAUGGUCUUUACAUGCCUCUUCCUAUUCCUUAUCAACCUUGGGAAGACAUUAGCAUGGAUUUUGUACUUGGUUUGCCUAGAACUCAAAAUGGAAAGGAUUCCGUGUUUGUUGUUGUGGAUAGAUUUUCUAAGAUGGCACAUUUCAUUCCUUGCAACAAGAUAGACGAUGCUUCACACAUUGCAAAUCUCUUUUGUAGGGAAAUCUUGCGACUCCAUGGAGUACCAAAGACAAUCGUCUCCGGUCGUGACGUCAAGUUCUUGAGUUACUUUUGGAAGACCCUAUGCGCCAAGCUCGGAAUGAAGCUCAUGUUCUCAUCAGCAUACCAUCCUCAAACCGACGGCCAAACGGAGGUGACGAACUGCACACUCUCCAGUCUACUUCGCGUCUUGAUUAAGAAGAACAUCAAGGAGUGGGAGGCAUGUCUACCCAUCGCCGAGUACGCCUACAAUCGUGCAAGACAUUCGACUACCGGCAAGUCCCCCUUCGAGGUCGUCUACGGCUUGAACCCGUUGUCCCCAUUGGACAUUCUACCUCUUCCUCUACGGCUUCUUCUAUGGCUAGCACGCUACAACGACAACGCCUACAAGAUCGACCAACCUCGAGACAAGUACAAUGUGAGCGACAUCUUCAACAUCAAGGACCUUGCACCAUACCAUGGAGAUGAAGCUUUUGAUCCGAGGUCGGAUCUCUCUCAAGGGGGGGGGGAGAUGAUGCGGAGCAUCCCUCACUCAUCCCCAUGGUCGCACCUACAUCUUCCUCAACACCACGUGGACCCAUGACUCGAGCCCGAGCUAAGGCUAUCAAAGAAAAGGUGAACUCGCUCCUCUCCGAGCUCCCUCUUCCUACUCACGGGACAUGGAUACUACCUCAUUCGGAAACUCUAUUUGUAAUCAGGUACAUGUAGAUGAGCCAAGGGAGAACUACCUGCAAGAGCCAAGACGACGAGGACCCCAAGCAUGUUGAAGAAGAAGAAGAGAAGCUACUGAAGCUACAGGCAUCGGACGUCCGACCAAGUCCGUACGUCCUACGACUCCCAGGCCACGGACGACCGACGCCCUCCGGACGUCCGGCAGCUGGGCACCCGAAUGGAAACUCACAGACGACCGAAGCCUCCGGACAUCAGAUCAAUGCACGCCCGAACCGAAUCUACGGACGUCCGAAGGCCAUCGAACGUCCGGACACUCGCGAACCUCCGGACGACCGGUGACUUCUGGACGUCCGACGCCUGUGUGUUGACUUUUAUUGGGCCGCAGCCCUUGUACCCCUUUGCUCCCUAGACUAUAUAUACUCUUUCUUCCCCACCUUUCUAGGGUUAGCAAUAGUUUAGCUCAUGUUUGUGUGAGAGCUCUGCUCAUCCACUUGGUUACCUUCUCCUCGGAGCUCAGGACCUCUACGGAGAAGAUCCCCCAAGCGGAUUCAAGACCACCUUCUAGGGUGGACCCCAUCAAGACCUCCUCACGGAGAAGAACGGCUACUCCUGUAUCUUUCCUUUGUUGAUUUUGAAUCUUGUGCUACCUUAUGUGUUCGAUGAUCUAGCCCUUGUGUGAUCGAUACUUGUCGGUUUCGUGUUCCUCUUGUGUGUUUUCCUUGUGUUCUUCCGCUCGUUCGUCGUGUUCUCCCCGUAGGAUCCCCUCCAAACGUGAAAGAUCCCCGAUUAGGGUUCCGCCCUACAUCAGCUAUGCCUCCUUAGGUAUGAAGAGGAACAUCACCAAGACACUCAGGAGCAUCACCAAGGAGUGGGAGGACCACCCCGAGGCCACGCAACCCAAGAAGAAGGGCAACAACAGCUGCACAGGAAGCUCCAGGCGACCUCGUGCGCAUGGCCCCCCGAGACCCCGUGCCCACGGGCUACUCAGGGAGUUGGCGCUGGAGCACCCCGUGCGCAUGGGCCCAACUUACCCCGGGCGCACGGGCCUCCCAGGAUGGUCGGCUGAGAUCACUUCUUCGGCUCCUCUUCAUCUCCUUCGACCCCUAUGCUAUAUAUUCCGUACCAAGGACCAAGUUAGGGUUAGCAAAGUAUUAGAUGAGAUAUUUGUGAGCUUUGCUCCUUUCUACCUUCCCUUGUGGAAUCAAGACCCCUUAGGGAAGAAUCCUUGUGGAUUUCAAGUCCUCCUCAAGGAGUAGUGAUGCGGAGCAUCCGACGAUCAUCCCCAUGUACACUCGAGCCUACGUCAUUGGACCUAAGGUGAACCCUCUCCUAAAUGCUUCUCCUUUCCAUUCAUGUGAGACAUGGUUACUACCUAAUGCAAGGACACUACACAUGCCUAGGUACCAAGGAGACCCUCUCGGAGAUGCUCGGAAUGAUGGACAAGUCGCCAAGUACAAGGAUGAAGGAGCACGACGAGAGGAACCGGAGAAAGGCUACAGGGCCCGGACAUCCGGCCAGGCCCCGGACAUCCGGCCCCUCCCGCAAGCCCAGACAUCCGGCCCUAGCCCGGAAAUCCGGCGCUCAUCGCAGAAGACACCCGUAGCUGAACCACUUCAGCCCGGACAUCCGGCCAGAGGCCUGGACAUCCGACUCUUCCCGAGCCGCCGGAUAUCCGGCCCCCUGCCCGGACAUCCGGACCCCGCUAUCCAGAGAGCUCCGAGACCGGCCACACUGAUGCGGAGCAUCCUACGGUCAUCACCAUGUCAAGAGUCCGUUUGGCAAGUGACACGUGCGACCUCUACUUCUCAUACAUAAAGGUGAAUCUUCUCCUUUACACUUGCUCACUUGACCCCUUCGAGGAUGGUAUACUACUUGACACUUCUCCCGUGUGCAUGCAUAGGUAUUGUCGGAGCUUCACGGAUGUUGAGGAGGAGUGCAAGCGCCAAGGAACAACUACACCAUCCCCAAGGGAAGCCUAGAAGCGACGACGGAGACAACCCCCAGGACCCGGACAUCCGACCCCUGGAGCAUCUCCCACAGCAGCCGCCUAGCCGCCAAGUACCUACAGGCCCCGGACAUCCGGCCCGCAAGCCCAGACAUCCGGCGCAUCCCGACAGCUCGGACAUCCGGCCAUAAGCCUGGAAAUCCGACGCCCCUAUCCAGAGAGCACCGAGGCUGACCUCACCAGCCCGGACAUCCGGCCCAUGCCCCGGACAUCCGGCCUCCCAUGAACGCCCGAAAAUCCGGCCCCCAGCCCGGACAUCCGGCACCUGGCCGCACGCAGAGGCGGGCCAAAGGCCCAUGUAUCCCCUCCUCACUUACCCCUUCGUGGACUAGCCUAUAUAAACUCGAUCCCCUUCCUCUAGUUAGGGUUAGCAAAUAUGAUAGCUCAUUCUUAGGUGAGCUUUGCUCCUACCUCUACUCUUGAGAGAGAGAGAGACUACCACUCCCAUGGAGUUCAAGACCUCCAUGUGAGAAGAUCAUGUGGGAUAUCAUCAAGACCCCCUUGUGGGAAGAUCCAUCUAGGAUAUCAUCAGGACCUCCUCUUGGAGAUGAACCUUACCUUGUAUAUUUCCCUUUGUUGUUCAUGUAUCUUGUGAUCUUGUGUGUUUGAUUGUCUAGUGGAUGUGUGAUUGGACUUGUUCUUGAGUAUUUCUCCUUGUGAUUUCUCCCCGUUCUUCCCAGUGUUCAUCAUGUUCUUCGAGGGAUCCCACUCCAAUCGUGAAAUAUCAGCCUACACCGGGUUAACCCCGUAUCAUAUGGUAUCAUGAGCCACGUUGAUCACGUUUUUGGAGCCCCUACCCCGUGUUUUCUAGCUUGAUUUUCUUGAUUUCGUCCUAAAUCCGAAAAUCCCCACCAAAAAUAGCCCCCAAAAUUUUUGUGAUUUGUUGGUUUGAUGAUGUUUUGUUGAUUUUGAUCCAUGUAUUUGCUUGGUUUCAAGUGGAUCUAGCAUCUCCCCAAGUUUCCCCACUUUCCAUCCACAAAAUCUCCCCAAUUUUGCCCUCAAAAUCAUCAAUUUCAGCCCAAAAAUCGAGUUCCUCGAGUUCAUCCUCGGAUUUGGAGCCCGAACAUCCGGCCCGAGCCCCGGACAUCCGGCCAGCCCGUAAAUCCGGCCAAUAGCCCAGACAUCCGGCUCCUGGAGUGCAUUUUCGCACAAGUUUCUGGACAUCAGGUCCCGGAAAUCCGGCCCGACCCCCGGAUGUCCAGCCCCUGGGAUUUCUGAUUUCCCCGUUUCACCGUUUCGGCCAUAACUAAUUCAUCCGGAGUCCGAUUUUGACGUUCUUUAGCUCGUUUUGAAGCUAUUGACAUCCCCCAUCCCACAAAAAUACAAACAGCAUCAUUUGACUCCAUCAAAUUUUUGAAAAUUUGGCAAGUUUGCCUAGGCCUUCCACCAUAUCAUCUGCAUAGCCACCACCGACUUGCGCAACCUAACCCAUUUUGUUCCCCAUAGCAUUAGUGGUUGCUUGAGUAGUGAUUCGAGUCUCCUAAGGUGUUUCUGCUACUUAGGGACGAUUGCUUCUUCAUCAACUACCAACACCACUUCCGCAUAGGCGUGCCCCCAUACACUUCCGCCACCCCCAACUUAACCCAAUAGUUGUUUGAGCUUGUUUGAGUUGUGGCUUGUGUCUCCUAAGGUGUUUUGGCUACUUAGGGACGGCAACUUCAACUCCAACACGUGUAUAGCCCACCAUUCCACUUCCUCAUUGCCAAGUGCAAACCACCACCGCAUUCCCGCUACCACCAUUUUGACAUUUGUCCUCGAGAUUUUGAGCUGUGGUUUUUCUGUUUCCUAAGGUGUUUCGGCUACUUAGGGACGAGUCUCCAUCAUCUUGUUAUCUACAUCAAGAACACCACCACUCAUCAUCGCCAAGGACGGUAACCUCGACGACACCAUUGUAUAUUACCCUUGCAAUUGCAUUGAUAACCCCUUAGCCCAUUUUGCGUUACUUGCCUAUCGAGACUAGCCAUUUGAGUAUUGCCGGCAACAUGACUUGUGCACAUUAGUGAUCAUACUUCCCAUAGCAUACAUACCAUAUCAUAUUGGUAUCAUCAUAUCAUCUCUUGUGUCACAAGCUUGUUCCCGCAUAUACACAAUUGAUAUCUUGGUUUGUGCAUUGUGCAAAAGCGGCCAUAGAAAAAAAAUAAAGCUCUUAAGCAAAAGAAAGAGAGCAAAGAAGCUUGUAAGCAAGUGCCAUAGCAUCAUACCACAUUGCAUAUAAGAUUGUCAUAUCCGAUCAUCUUGGAUCAUCUUGAGAGAAACACUGGGAACCAUACAUACAUAGCAUACUUGGGAUAGAAGUUUAUCCAUUUUGCAUCUUAUAGGUUGUGCACAAGUGUCGUAUCCGCCUAUUGAGCAAUCGUGCUAGCGUCUCCCUUGAGUUGUGCAACACGAGCGUUUUCCGUGGAUUCCACAUUUUGUGCUCAUUCCUUGGUUGCACGACCCCAUUUAUCUAUCCGUGUGUGUGUUUCCGUGUGCCAUUCUUUGCUAUUGGUCCAUUUGUUUCACUUGCGAAUUUGUGAAUCUUUUUCAACAUUAUUGACUCUUGCUAACAUUUUGCAUCAAAUUUUUGUGCCACUAUCCUCACCGAGCUCCACCAUAAGCCUUAUUUGUGUAGGUGUGAGAAACCGACAAGAAUUGGUACCAAUUGUGCUAUUUCCUUGUUACACAUUGAGUGGUCAUUGAUCCAUCUUCAACAUCGGUCAAGGUACAUUUGGUAUAAGUUCUUCUAUUUCUCCCACUCAUAUUUGCUCGAGUCUUGUGAUGGAUAGGCAAGGCAUUUCACCCUCGGUCUACAACAACAACAACUAGUUCGAUGCCACGAACAACUCCAACGAUGCCAAGAUGCAAUCUCAAAUGGAGGAGAUCAAAGCACUCAUCAAGUCCUACAAGAGAUCUUCCUCAUCUUCGAGAAGACGCUCAAGUGCACAUGCUUCCGAGCUACCAUCUCCGGCAAGAUCACAUCAGCAUCGACACCAUCACCACCAAGAACGUGAAGGUCACGAGCUCAACACCAACAACCGCUCAAUGACUUCACCAUCACCCUUGGCAUCUUCGCCAAGCGACUUCAAGGCAUCUUCGCCUUUGGAUAUAUGGCAUCUUCGCCAACAAGCACCUCAAGACUACGCUCAAGAGAAGCUCCCCAAGCUCAAGUCCACGACCUCCACGAGCUACUACGACCUCGACACCGACCAUGAGAUUCCUUUCUAUGGGACUCUAGAACCCGAGGAGUAUCUCAAGUGGGAGCGUUUGAUGGACGACUACCUCAAGCUACAUCAAGUUCCUCCCGAAGAUCAAGUGAAGUGCGCCACAAGAAACUUCCACGACUACGCCUCAACAUGGUGGCUUCACACACCUUCGGAAAGCUACGACAUGAGUUGGCCCAAGACGAAGAAAGCUUUGCGGCGAGAGUUUGUCCUCCAACCUACUCGGAACAACUUCUACGCCAAUUGGAGAACACCAUCCAAGGAUCCAAGUCCAUCGACAAGUACUUCAAGGAGAUGAAGAAAGCCUUGCGACGUGCCGGCGUGGAUGACCCCAUGUCAAUGAAGUUCCACUUCAUGAUGGGAUUGAACAAUGACAUCUCCAAGACUAUCUUCCUCGAGAACUACAAGUCCCUCGACGACAACUACAUUGGUGCUCUCAAGGCGGAACAAGAACUAAUGAAGGCCAAGGCUUCUCCACCCCAAGCACACUUCUCGAAGACCAAACUCAAAGACGACGAGCAUGAGGCUAGUACCACCAAGAUGUCCAAGCCCGAUGAGCUCCAAGACGAUGCUCCCAAGUUCGACUUAACCGCCAUCCCUCUUUGUGGCAUUGAUGAUGUCGAGUCCUCCAUGACUCUUUUUCAAGAUGGUGCGGCAACGAGUACGACUACGGAGACCAUCAAGGACCAUGCUUUGGAGGCGAGCAACUUGGUGACGAGCAAGGAUGAUGCUUCCAUCUUAGGAGGCGAGAGCGAUGAUGUGCCAUCUCCGGCCUUCAUCCAUGGUAACAACAACGAGAUGGUUGAGCAUGGGAUUUUCCCUUCGACCAUGGCGACGUAUGAUGACUUGAGUGACUUGUGCCACCAUAUUGAGAGUGAGAGUGACUUCACCACUAGCCACAUAUGUGAUGUGUUGCCCCAAUUCCCAUGUGAGGAGAGCCACAACACCCACCACUUGAUUGAGAUGAGUGACUCCACCAUAUGUGACUUUGAGUGCACCUACCUUGAGGGAGUGAGUGAACCACCACAUAGAGAGAGUGAGGCCACUUCGAUUUCUAACGACUUAACAUCUACCUCUAUUGUGUCUUCUCAUUUGGUGCUAGGUCCCAUAUAUGAUGAUGCGCCGAUUCGCGACGACUACGUCCUUCCUUUGGACAAGAUGAUGGCCAUGGUGGAAUACGAUGCACCCCCCACAUGGUUCCAUCAAGAUGAAGAUGACCACCACUUGGUCUUUGCCACCUCACCUACACAACUUGAGUGGAAUGAACAAGGUAACAUAGGUGAAGGUGAUGCUCUUGUCCCACUAGUGGACAUUCUUGACAUUGAUUGCUUGCAUGAUGUUGAUCAACCUAUUUCCAUGCUUCAUGCUAGUGCGACUCCCUCAUGUCUUGACUUGCCAAUUUAUGAUGAAUAUGAUGAUGAGCAUGUUGAGUUGCCUAGUUGUGAUGCCAUGUUACAUAGGAUUUCUUGUGAAAAUUCUUUAGGUCACAUCAUGUUUGACAACCCGCUUGACUUGUCAUAUGCUAUGCAUGAGAUCAAUCAUAUGUCAUAUUUGCAAUCUCUUCAUAGUGACUAUGCAUAUGCCAUUAAAAUAAACCCAAUUUGCACUUAUGGCAUGGAUGACAAGCCCAUGGUUAUUGGCAUUUGUUUUUCUUGUGAUGAUAUUGAUAUGCUUCCUUUGCAUCAUUUAUCUCAUAUGCCAUGCCAUGACUACCUAGCUUCGGAUAUGCAUUGUUUUGGAUGUUGUCCAUUUUCUCCAUAUGAUGUUUCCAAUAUUGCUCAUGAGGAGACCCCCAUAGUUUCCUCAUACAUUUUAGGAGAUUUUGAUUCAUCCUAUCCAUUGCAUGAUCCCAAUACUUGUGUGCACAAUAUGCUUCCCAUGAAUAAACAUGCUAUUGAUGUGCCAUAUACUUGCAUUCUCAAUUUGUGUCCCCAUCGUGUCAUAUACAAUAACUAUUCUUUCAUGAUGGAUGACAUGUUCUUGUACCAUGCAUCAAAUUUCUUUGAGUGAUGCUUAUCUUGUGCUAACACUCACUUGCACAUACACAUCAUGAUGGAUGAUGUGUACAUUUACCACACACACAAUUUCUUUCGUUUAUGUCUCUGUUGUGUAGGUACCCAUGAAUACUUGUCAACUUCGCAAUCCCACGAGUUAACAAAACGAGCUAUAGAGAGCAAUGAUGACUUGGGAUCCCAUGGAUUGCCUUUCCCACCGCUCACUUCGCGCAAACACUUCGCGCAUUUCUUUUACAUGGCCCUCACAUGGUUAUGGGUUGUUGUCCAUUAUAUAUCCUUUGCCCAUCUUGCCAUGUUCACUUUGCAUGAUAUGCCCAUUCCUAUGCCUUUGCCAUGCAUUUGUGACCCAUGCUUUGCAUUACACAUGAUGAUUGAUUCUAGUACUUGUAUGUGUAUUCACAAGCGUGGUGGAGAUAUUGUUUGUUAUUGCCAUGAUUGCUUUGUGCCCCAUGCCUAUGAUGACACUAUGAUCUUGAUUUGUGUUCGUGCUUGCGAUAUGUCAUGUACAUUGCCUAUGUCUAUUCUUUGCUCACAUGACAUGAUUGCCAUGAUUCCCUCUAGUGUGUUGCAUCUUUGCUCCACUAGUUUGCACGACUUGAUUACUAUGAUUGCUUGCCUUGUUGCAUCACCGAUGAUUCAUACUUGCUCACUUCAUGCGGUUGAUGACAACCAUUUCCAUGCUUUGCACAUGAUUGUUAUUGCUCCUUGUCAUUUAUCUCCAUGUGUUGCCUCUCUCAUCCUAGAUGAUUUGACAUGUAUUGAGUGCAACAAUGCCCUUAGUCUUGAUAAUGAGUUUGCCCCCAUAGCAUUCUCACAUAUAAUUGGAGAUUUUGACAUAUUCCUUGUGAAGCAUGCUUGUCUUACCUCUUUGCAACAUAUACCCCGUGCCAUGAAUAUAGCCAUUGUUGCAUCAUAUUAUUCAUGCACUUGUGCUUCUAAUGGUUAUGUGCAAAAGAAGAGAACCAUCAUGAUGGAUGAUGUGUUUAUCAACCAUGCGCAUACGUUCUUUGUUUUGUUGUGUGCAUGUGUAGGAUACUUGAACUUUGUGUCGACUUCCAUGUCACGUGAGUUGACCAUUCGAGCUCUUGAGAGCAAACCACCUUCUACCACGACGAUUCUACAUCGCACUUGUUUGUGCUUCGGCAUUGGGAAGGAUGCACAAGGACACGCCUUCAAGGUGACAUCUUUCUUGAGGAUGGAUAUUGCGGAUCAUACUACUUGUGUUGCUUGCACGAUGAGACUUAUUGUUCAUCUUGGAUCACUUGAUUGCACACUUGUUAGAGAUUUUGCUUCAACUUGUCAUUUCACCGUUCCAUGCAUCAUGAUAUAUAUGCCUUGUGUGUUGCAUCCAAUUCUUGGAUUACUUGCUCCUCUCACAUGUCUGGUUGCAACAAUGUCAUUACAUCACAUAUGCCAUGUCCCAUUGAUUGCUACAUGCUUGACUUGAUUGCCUCACACAUGAUGAACAAUUGCUCUUUCUAUUGUGUUGAGUGCCACACUAUAUUCACUACACCCUAUGCACAUUAUGCUUGGAUUGUCUUGCACUUGACCCAUGUGUUUAGACAUCUCAUCUUAUUUGGUGUUGUGAAUGAUUCCUAUGCCUACCAUCGACCAUUUGUCGAGCGCUUUAUGCAUGCUUGCUAUGACCUUGAGGUGGAUGCUUAUGCUCUUGUCACACAUAUUUGCAUCUCUACCUCACAUUUGCAUACUUGUCCCCAUGAUAUCUUUGCUUCUGCUCAAUUGAUAUGCUUACAUCCCAUGUCGCAAUCCUUUGUCACACCCGAUGCUAUGCUUGAUGACGACACUUGUUUGGUGAACCACCUCUUGAAUGCUUGGUUUUGCACUAACGCUAACCACAUUUGUUUUUCCAAGUGUUUGUUGUUCUGGCUUCUUUUGAAGGAAUCACUAGACGGUGCGACAUUGGAGAGUGCCCAUUUCGAGUUUCAAGAUGAUGAGUGCUGUGUGACCGACCACUUCGACAUAGCACCGCCAUCUCUUUCCCAUGGUGAUUUGGUUUUCGAUCCGAGGUCGGAUCUUUUCCAAGGGGGAGGGGAUGAUGCGGAGCAUCCUACGGUCAUCACCAUGUCAAGAGUCCGUUUGGCAAGUGACACGUCCGACCUCUACUUCUCAUACAUGAAUCUUCUCCUUUACACGUGCUCACUUGACCCCUUCGAGGAUGGUAUACUACUUGACACUUCUCCUGUGUGCAUGCAUAGGUAUUGUCGGAGCUUCACGGAUGUUGAGGAGGAGUGCAAGCGCCAAGGAACAACUACACCAUCCGCAAGGGAAGCCUGGAAGUGACGACGAAAGAAGACGGAGACAACCCCCAGGACCCGGACAUCCGGCCAGGACCCCGGACAUCCGGCCCCUGGAGCAUCACCCACAGCAGCCGCGCAGCCGCCAAGUACCUACAGGCCCCGGACAUCCGGCCUGCAAGCCCGGACAUCCGGCGCCUCCCGACAGCCCGGACAUCCGGCCAUAAGCCCAGAAAUCCGACACCCCUAUCUAGAGAGCACCGAGGCCGACCUCACCAGCCCGGACAUCCGGCCCAUGCCCCGGACAUCCGGCCUCCCACGAACGCCCGGACAUCCGGCCCCCAGCUCGGACAUCCGGCGCCUGCCUGCGCGCAGAGGCGGGCCAAAGGCCCAUGUAUCCCCUCCUCACUUACCACUUCGUGGACUAGCCUAUAUAUUCUCCAUCCCCUUCCUCUAGUUAGGGUUAGCAAAUAUGAUAGCUCAUUCUUAGGUGAGCUUUGUUCCGACCUCUACUCUUGAGAGAGAGAGACUACCACUCCCAUGGAGUUCAAGACCUCCAUGUGAGAAGAUCCUGCGGGAUAUCAUCAAGACCCCCUUGUGGGAAGAUCCAUCUAGGAUAUCAUCAAGACCUCCUCUUGAAGAUGAACCUUACCUUGUAUCUUUCCCUUUGUUGUUCAUGUAUCUUGUGAUCUUGUGUGUUUGAUUGUCUAGUGGAUGUGUGAUUGGACUUGUUCUCGAGUGUUUCCCCUUGUGAUUUCUCCCCAUUCUUCCCCGUGUUCAUCGUGUUCUUCGAGGGAUCCCACUCCAAUCGUGAAAGAUCGGCCUACACCGGGUUAACCCCGUAUCACACACCAACCAGCCCGGACAUCCGGCCCGCGCCCCGGACAUCCGGCCUCCCACGAGCGCCCGGACAUCCGGCCCCCAGCCCGGACAUCCAGCGCCUGUCUGCGCACAGUGAACGGGCCAAGGGCCCAUGUAUCCCCCCUCUCACUUACCCCUUCGUGGGCUAACACUAUAUAUAGACCCCCACCUCCUCCUAGUUAGGGUUAGCAAAGGAUUAGCUCAUAUUUUGUGUGAGAGCCUUGCUCAUCCACUUGGUUACUUCUCCUCGGAGCUCAGGACCUCUACGGAGAAGAUCCCCCAAGCGGAUUCAAGACCUCUUCAAGGGAAGACCAUCAAGACCUCCUCACGGAGACGAACCCGGUUACCUCUUGUAUCUUCCUUUGUUGACUUUGGAUUGUGUAUCUUACCUUUGUGUUCAUCGAUCUAGCGCAUGUGUGAUCUAUUCUUGUUGGUUGAGUGAUUUCUCUCGUGUUCCCCUCGUAUUCCCCUCGUGUUUCCCCUCGUGUUCAUCACGUUCUUCGUAGGGAUCCGCUCCUUUCAUGAAAGAUCGGCCAUCUAGGGUUCCACCCUACAUCAUCUUGGUAUCAUGAGCCACGUUGAUCAUGAUUUCGGAGCCUCCCCGUUGUGUUUUCUAGCCUAGUUUUGUUGAUUUUGUCCCAAUUUCGAAAAUCCCCACCAAAAAUAGCCCCAAAUUUUUUUGUGAUUUGUUGGUGUGAUGAUGUUUUGUUGAUUUUGAUCCAUGGAUUUGCUUGGUUUCGAGUGGAUCUAGCACUUCCCCAAGUUUCCCCACUUUCCAUCCACGAAAUCUCUCCAAUUUUGACCUUGAAAUCUUCCAUUUCCGCCCCAAAAUCGAGUUCCUCGAGUUUAUCCUCGGAUUUGGAGCCCGGACAUCCGGCCCGACCCCCGGACAUCCGGCCAUCCCGGAAAUCCGGCCAUUAGCCCGGACAUCCAGCUCCUGGAGCGCAUUUUCGCGCAAGUUUCUGGACAUCAGGCCCGGAAAUCCGGCCCGACCCCCGGAUGUCCGGCCCCUGUAGAUUUCAGCCUCCCCGUUUCACCGUUUCGGUCAUAGCUAAUUCAUCCGGAGUCCGUUUUUGACGUUCUUUAGCUCGUUUUGAAGCUAUUGACAUCCCCCAUCGCACAAAAAUACCACCAACAUCAUUUGACUCCAUAAAAUUUUGUGAAUUUUGGCAUCUUUGCCUAGGCCCUCCACCAUAUCAUCUGCAUAGCCACCACCGACUUCCGCAAUCUAACCCAUUUUGUUCCCCAUAGCAUUUGAGGUUGUUUGAGUAGUGACUUGAGUCUCCUAGGGUGUUUCGUCUACUUAGGGAUGGUUGCUUGUUCAUCAACCACAACCACCACUUCCACAUAACCUUGCCCACCAUACACUUCCGACACCCCAAAUAACCCAAUUGUUGUUUGAGCUUUUUCGAGUUGUGGCUUGUGUCUCCUAAGGUGUUUAGGCUACUUAGGGACGGCAACUUCAACUUUGACACGUGUAUAGCCCGUCAUUCCACUUCCGCAUUGCCAAGUGCAAACCACCACCGCAUUCCCGCUACCACCAUUUUGACAUUUGACGUUUGAGAUUUUGAGUUCGCGGUUUUUCCAUUUCCUAAGGUGUUUCGGCUACUUAGGGACGAGUCUCCAUCAUCUUGGUAUCUACAUCAAGAACACCGCCCCUCAUCAUCAUCAAAGGACGGUAACCUCGACAACACCAUUGUAUAUUCCCCUUGCAAUUGCAUUGUUAACCCCUAGCCCAUUUUGCGUUACUUGACUAUCGAGACUAGCCAUUUGAGUAUUGCCGGCAACGUUACUUGUGCACAUUAGUGGUCUACACCUUCCAUUGCAUACAUACCAUAUCAUAUUGGUAUCAUAUCAUCCCUUGUGUCACAAGAUUGUUCCCGCAUAUACACAAUUGCUAUCUUGGUUUGUGCAUUUCGCAAAGUGGCCAUACAAAAAAAAGAAUAAGCUUUUAAGAAAAAGAGAAAGAGCAAAGAAGCUUGUAAGCAAGUGCCAUAGCAUCAUACCACAUUGCAUAUAAGAUUGUCAUAUCCGAUCAUCUUGAGAAACACAGGGAACCAUACAUACAUAGCAUACUUGGGAUAGAAAGUUUAUCCAUUUUGCAUCUUAUUGGUUGUGCACAAGCCGCCUAUUGAGCAAUCGUUCUAGCGUCUCUCUUGAGUUGUGCAACACGAGCGUUUUGGUGGAUUCCACAUUUUGGGAUCAUUCCUUGGUUGCACGACCCCAUUUAUCUAUCCUUGUGUGCGUUUCCGUGUGCCAUUCAUUGCUAUUGGUCUACUUGUUUCGCAUGCAAAUUUGUGAAUCUCUUUCAACAUUAUUGACUCUUGCUAACAUUUUACAUCAAAUUUUUGUGCCACUAUCCUCACCGAGCUCCACCAUAAGCUUUACUUGUGUAGGUGUGAGAAACCGACAAGAAUUGGUACCAAUUGUGCUAUUUCCUUGUUACACAUUGAGUGAUCAUUGAUCCAUUUUCAACAUCGGUCAAGGUACAUUUGGUCUAGUUCUUCUCUUUCUCCCACUCAUAUUUGCUCGAGUUUUGUGAUGGGUAGGCAAGGCAUGUCAUCUCCGGUCUUUGACAACAACGACGGCGUGAACAACUACAUCACCUAAGCGUCCAUCUUCGAUCUACAACGACAAGUGCAAGGCGCACAAUCAAGAUUGCGAGAGCGCAUCGAGAACCUCUUCAUCGACAUUCAUCUCUCCGAAGCAAGGAGAAGGGACUACUUCGACAAGAAGCUUGCCGCACAUAAAGAGGAGCAAGAUGCAAUGAUGGAGGAGAUUUGAACCUUUCUCUAGUCUACUUCCCCUUCAUCAUCGUCAAGACGACGAUGUUCAAACCACAAGUCUUCGGAGCGCCCAAGCGAUGCAAGCGCAAGUCGUCCACAUCUCCAUGGCGACCACCAUCACGUUCGUGAUCCACAUCGUCAUGAAGGGCAAGUCACCUCCAAGCAUCAUGUGCACGACGACGACGAACGACAUCUACUACGAUCUCAAGUGCGACAACGACACCAUCAUCAUGAAGAUGCUCAACAAGCGCAAAGGCACAAGUCCCAACAAGCCCUACUUCACACCAAGUCCAAGCUUCAAGAGCACAAAAGAAGACCGCGAGACGACCACCACCAAGACGGCGCUACGGCUACAUCACCCACUUCGGCAUCUUCGCCAAGUGUUCUCAAGGCAUCUUCGCCUUUGGACGUACGACGUCUUCGCCUACUUCCCACGAGUAUGCCUACAACGACUUCAUCAAGUCCAAGGCGACCACCUACGAGCGAGGGCUACACUUCCAUCUUUGGAAGCCCCCCAAGGAAGAUGGCCGAGCAUGGGACACUCCCUUCGGUCAUGGAGACGAGCUACGAGGUGCCACAUCAUAUGGGCCUCCAACAACAAGACGGUGACAAGAAGGUUGAGCAUGGGACUAUCCCUUCAACCAAGGCGGCGAUAGGAGUUGAGCAUGGAGACAUUUGCACCUACAUCUCUCCGACACCCACAUAUGUCGAGAUGCCCCAAGUGCCAUGUGAGGAGAGCCACCACCACAUGAGAGAGAUGAGUGACUCCACCAUACGUGACACUGAGAGCAUUUCCUAUGAGAGGAUGAGUGUGACCACCACUAGCCCCACACAUGAGAGCAUGCCACACAUCCUAUGUGAGGUUGAGCGCCAUUUGAGUGACUCCACCAAUCAUUUGAGUGAGAUCAUCCUUGAGGGAGUGGGUGAGCCACAACACAUAGUGAGUGAGGUAGUUGACACGGCAUGUGAGGCCACCAUGAAUUCUAACGACUUAACCUCUACUCCUAGUGUGUUUUCUUCUUUGGUGCUAGGUCUCCUACAUGAUGAUAUGCCUAUCCUCGACGAGUCCAUACCUCCAAUGGAGAUGACGAUGGCCAUGGUGGAUGAUGAUGCACCCCCCGCAUGGUUCCAUCAAGAUGAAGAUGACAACGAGACGAUCUUCAACACCUCACCUACAACUCAUGAGCGACCUUCCAAAGGUAACAUAGGUGAUGGUGCUUCUCUUGUCCCACUAAUGGACUCUCUUACCAUCGAUUGCUCCCAUGAUGUUGACCCACCUAUUCCCAUGCUUCAUGCUAGUGAGACUUCUUCAUGCCUUGACUUACCUAUUUAUGAUGAAUAUCAUGAUGAGCAUGUUGAGUUGCCUAGUUGUGAUGUCAUGCUCCAUAGGAUAUCUUGUGAAAAUUCUAUUGGUCACUUCAUGUUUGACAAUCCAUUGAACUUGUCAUAUGCUAUGAGUGAGAUCUCCCAUAUUGCAUCAUUUCAAUCUCAACAUAGUAACUAUGCAUGCCCCAUUGAAAUAAAUCCCAUUUGCACUUAUGGCAUAGAUGACGAAAUGAUGGUCAUUGGCUUUUGCUUCUCUUGUGAUGAUAUUGCCAUGCUUCCUUUACAUGAUUUGCGCAAUUCAUCUACUAUUACAUGCCAUGAUCACAUUGUUCCAAAUAUGCAUUGUUUUGGAUGUUGUCAAUAUUCUCCACGUGAUGUUUCUACUCUUGCUCAUGAGGAGACCCCCAUAGUUUCCUCAUACAUAUUAGGAGAUCUUGAUGCAUUUCAUACUUCUGCAUGAUUCCCAUGAUAGUGUACACCAUAUGCAUUCCAUGAAUAACAAUUCUCUAGAUAUUUCUCAUGAUGCAUUACAUCCUUUGAGUCUCCAUUAUGCCAUGCAUAACAACAAACCUAUCAUGAUGGAUGACAUGUUUCUAUAUCACACAUCUCAUUUAUUCGAGCAUUGGAUAUUUUGUGCUAACCGAUACAUGCAUGUGCGCAUCAUGAUGGAUGAUGUGUACAUCUACCCCGCACACACAAUUUUCCCUUUGUCUUUGUUUUGUGUAGGUACUCACAUAUACUCGUCAACUUCUCAAUCCCAUGAGUUGACGAAACGAGCUCUUGAGAGCAACGAUGACUUGGGAUCCCGUGGACUAUCAUUCCCACCAUUCCUUUUGCGCAAAGACUACGCACAUCUCUUUUACUUGUCUCUCACACGGCUAUGGGCUAUUUACCACUUGUCACAUUAUGCCCAUUCUAUCGUGUUCACUUUGCAUGUUAUGCAUCUUUACAUGACUUUGCCAUGCAAUUGUGACCCUUGCUUGCAUUUACCCAUGAUGCACCAUUAUGAUACUCCUAUGUGUAUUUGCAUGCUUGGUGGAGAUCCUUGUUGCUAUUGCCAUGUUUAUCAUGUGCCCCAUUCUAUUGAUGCUAUUUUGCUCAUAUCUUGCCUUUAUGCUUGUGAAAUGUAAUGUGCAUUUUGUAUGCCCACUAUUUGCACACAUGACAUGCUUGCCAUGAUUCCUUCUAGUACAUUGCAUCUUCGCACUACUAGCUUGCUUGACUUGAUCUCUAUGAUUGCUUGCUAUGUUGCAUCACCCAUGUUCCACUAUCACUUGCUUUCUUGGGUUGAUGACAUAUAUGUUCAUGCCUCUCACAUGAUAUAUCUUGUUUAUUGUCGCUUGCCUCCUAUAGUUGCCUCUAUGCUUAAUGAUAUUGGAGACUUGGACACUUCACUUGUGAUGCAUGCUUGUUUGAUUGAGCCUAUUGCAUUUGGUUGUUAUCGCAUCAUAUGCCUCCAUACUAAGAAAUGCUCCCUUGCCCUUUCUCAUGAUGAGCAUGAUGCAUACACUUGUUGGGUAUCUUACCACACGAAUGAUAGGUUUUGCACUUCCGCUAACCUCAUUUGUUUUUCCGAGUGUUUGCCAUGUUCUUUCAUUUUGAAGGAUUCACAAGGCGGUAACAUCACGAGACAACUUGGUUAUGUGAAGGCAUACAAGAUGCACAACUCCAUCAUUCUUGAGAACCUCCUAAAGGUGACCUCCUUCCCUUUGAGCCAUCUUUAAAUAUGCAUAUUGGAUGGGCCAUACUUUCGUUGUUGUUUCCUUCUUGUUGUCUACAUGAUACAUCUAUUGGAUGGAGGACCGACAUUGGAGAUGGACCCUAUGGACUUUCAAGUUGAGGAGUGCCACGACAUCGAGCUAUGGUACAACACCACCCAUGAAAAAUUUACACCAUAUGCAUGGCUUGACACACAUUAUGAUUGUCUUGUUGCACCUAUUCCCAUGUCAUCCAUGAUAUAUGAGCUUGUGCAUUUUCUUAGCAAAUUUGUUGUGAUCUUUCUUGAUGGCAUAUUCAUACAUCGUGAUCAUAUUGCCUACCAUCAAUUGCAUGAUAACAUACACAUGUUGAGCAUCCAUUGCCAUAUUCAUGCUAUUGAUAAACUGUCUCACUAUGACAUCACUUUGCACCGUGGUUGCAUUGAUCAUAUUUACAACACAUUUGUGUGCACAAUGAAUGCUUUUGCUCCCAUGAAUGCUUUACAUCUCAUUCCAUAUCAUCUUGCUAAGCUUCAUGUGCUUUGUCAUGAACAAUCUUGCCUCACGGACUCAUUCUUACAUGAUGGACACUUUGUGUGUGCUAACCAUUAUAUUUCCGAGUGUUGCUUGUGUUUGGUCUUUUUGCAUGUCUAUCACUCCGGAGACACCUUGGAGUACUUGGAUUGCACCAUGACUUCCACUACAUCCAACUACAAGUUCGUCCACGACAACCGUUUCCAUGGUGAUGAGCUUUUUGAUCCGAGGUCGGAUCCUUCCCAAGGGAGGGGAGAUGAUGCAGAG